AAGGAAACCUAUGUAUCGGUAAGUGGUACACAGAUACAUUUUUAAAAUAAACUUGGGAAAAAAUUAACGCAAAACCUUCGGAAAUUGUCUAAAAUGUUUGGAAAUUUCACGUGGUGCUCGACGGUACCGAUGAAAUAAUGCAUUAAUCCGGUGUCGAUAAAAAAAAAACCUCAAAAUCACGGACGUGCGCGGGCGUUUUUCAUCGAAUACAUUAUAAUAAUAUGAAGUAGAUAUAUCGAAAACUUUAAAACACCUACUGCCUGCGGUAAAAUGAUAAAAUGUUUUCUAACCAGUGCUGAAAUUUGGUUUUGAAAUAGUUUCGAAAGACGAGAAAAUAGCAAGUGGCUAUAUAUUUUAUUUAAAAAGUUUGAAAUACACUCUUAUAAGAUGUCGUAUAUAAAUUUAUAAAUCUUUUUCCAAAGGUAACUGAUGUGGGUAUAACAUCUGAUUUUGAGCACUUCGCGCUUAAAUAACCUCUUAUUAUUUUUUUUAUAAUGUUUUGACCGAAUGAUUUUCAUGAAAUUUUACCCUGCUUUAUCUCUAGUAGUAUAUCUAUGCACUCAAAAGCCGGACAUAUAGUAACAAAGUAAUAUACUGAUGUACAACGAGUGCAAAACAUCUGUUUACUGGAGUAAAAUAAUUCCUUUGAAGUGAUCUCUUGUGCACAAAAAGCGAAAAUCUGUCACGAAUUAUACGGAAAUGUUUUUGUCCCUAACAGAAGAAGUUUGCAAACGCAGUAAGCGUUUGUGUACGACUAUCAAAUAAAACGGCUAGAAUCUGUCUACAGGCUGUAUAUUGAUUUUUUUUUAUUCUAUUCGCUUUCCAUUUUUUUUUUUUGUAUGAUAUAUAUUUUAAAUUCUGAUCGUAGUCAGGAAUGUACUGGUUUUCCUAUGAUAAGUGCUUGUUUAAUAUUUCUUGUUUUCUCUCAGUGAGUGACUUUCUUAACAGAAAUCUUGAAACGUUUAUCAAUUUAAGGUAGAUUUUUGGUGACAAAUUUUGUAUAGUUGCUACAUAUUUGUGAUAAUUUUAUAUUCGGAAAGUAACGACGGAUCUAUUGGUUUUACUAUAAUGUGCAUUAAUAAGGUCCUUGUCGUUGAUUUUUCAAGGGAAUUUCAAAAUAAUUGGGAUAAACCGGGAACAAAAUUAUAGGAAAAUGGCAGAUAUUUUCGGUGCGAUGUAUGACGCGGCGUUACCGAUUUCAUUCUUUUUAAUUUUUGUAAACUAUUUUUUAGUUAACUGUGAACUUUUUCGUUGGAUUUUGAAUCUAGAUGCUUUCUAGAUGCUUUUUUGAUUUUCUAAAUAAUUCUCAUGAUAAUUGAAAAAAACUGGAAGAAGACGAAAAAUAAAAAAAACUGAUAAAUUUACGGCAUUAGUAUUUCAUUAUUUUAAAUUUUUACACUUUAUUUUUCUAUCAGAAAUAUUGCUCCAAUUGAAAAACAACAAGGUACCUUUUUUUGUUGUACUUUUGUUCUAGUUGGUAAAUAAAUCGUUUUUUGAUUUUCCAAGUAGUUUUUUUAUAAUUUAAUAAAACCGAAAAAAUCGUAUAAAAAGUGGGAAAAUUGUAUGUAAUUAAUUGUUUUAAAGUUCUUUUUUCAAUGUGAUUCAGUUGUAAAAUUUUAAACAUAUUUGAGCCAUUCUUGAGAUAUUUAUAGACAUUUUAAUUUCGUUAAUUUUUUUACAUAAUUUUUAUUCGAUAUAUAUUCUGUGGAUAAAAUUGUUAGACUUAAUAGAAAUGCUUAAACAUUUGAUAGAAGAGGAAGUUCAUUAUAAGUUAUACAUAGUGGUCGAAAAAAAAAAUAUCGAAUAAAUGUAAAAUAGAAUGUAUUCAAAAUAUUGCAGAAUAUGUAACAGUGUCGGUAUUUUGAAUGUUUUAUAAAUUCACAUUUAGUAAAUUGCAAAAUAUUAUGUUAAAUUUGUUCAGCUCGAAGAUAAUACCAGAUCAGUCAGUUUAAUUGGAAUAUUAACGUGAAUGGAAUAACGUGGUGUUCUGUUAUUGUUACUGACAGUGCCAUAGCCAGGAGGGUUUUGGGUAAGAUCAAGAAGGUUUUAUAUUUCUGAACAAGACGGGUUAAAGACCAAUAGAAUGGUAAAUACUGCAGGAAUGUACUUAUAAUAUAAAUACAUUUACUCGAUAUCUAAUAAACGAAAUUAUUUUGGUUGAAUAAAAUUAUUCUCUUUUACACCUAUCGAUUUUCAAUUAAAUUAAUAUAUAUAUACAAAAUAUACUAUUACGGAAAAAUUGUUUUUUUUUUUUCUAACAUCGAUCGGUUUCACCGGGAGACGCAUUCCUAUUGGGAAAAGGUGGGUCUAAUUUAUGUCAUCAUAUUUCCGUUCAUGCACUUUAACCGUUGUCGAAUUGAAUAAAAGGUCAUAAUCAUCAUCAAAGACUGACGCUUCUUCAGGACCAUACGAAUACAUUAUACGUCGGGUCGUCGACGGAAUAUCAAACAUUCGAUCCUUAUGUAUGCACAGGGUUUCCUACAGUAUUAUAUCAUUAUUAUUAUUUUAUAGGUUUUAGGUCAGUGGCAAACAUAUGUAGAGAAUCAUUUUUUUUAUCCCUUAAUUACUGAAAAAAAAAUUAUUUUAUUUUAUUAUUUUUCAAAAUAACCAUUUUGUAAAAAAAUAUUAUUUAAAAAUUAUAAUGUACCAUAUACAUUCAUAUUUGAUCAAAUGUUUCUGAUUAAUAGCCGAUUUAAUUUCUAGAAAAUUGGUGUGAAAACAAUUAAUUUUCUAUAGAAUAACACUUCUUCUCGAUAAGGAAUCACAAUCAAUAAUUCCUCAUAUUUUAUUGAAGAUUGUACAACGUUCAUAUAAUACCGGUGCAUAUGAGUUGCCCCCCAAAAUGUACGAAUUGCCUCCUAUACUUAUCGUAAAUAAAAAAGUUAAUGUAAACUAGUCGCCUCCGACGAUUAGGUAGUUCAUAAUUAUAUGAUACGAGUUGCUUCCCAAAAAUGUUCGCAUUAGUUGCCUCCUAUAUUGAAUAAAGUAGUGGCUCUUAAACUAAACUGAAGUUAAUAUAAUAUUUAUAACUUUAUUAAGAAUAAUAAUAUGAUUGGUGGAAAAAAAACAUGUAUAUAUCCGGGAGGCAAUUCGUAUUAAAAUUGUCGACCUUUUUGAUCUCAGGAGGCAACUAGUUUUAUAGGGCGCCUAUAACACUGUUGGACACCCUGUAUACAUUAUAUGCGGAAAAAAAUUUUGAAAUAUGUGCAUUUUCAAAGACAUGUGACAAUCUAAUUUCAUAUCUCGAUCCUAUGUAUUCGAAUUCCCGACGUGUCCCACUGCGCUCCCUCGUUCCCUCGAGAGUAUUCGUAUAAUUUGGCUUCGGGCUUCGAGUAUUCCUGCGUGCCGGGCUCAAUCUAACGAUAGUGAAUAUGACUGCAAAAACCCUACUAUUGAUUGUCAUUUUUUUUUUUUUUUUUUGAUAUUCAAUUUUACUUUUCGAACUAUCAACAUCUAUAUGAAAACUGUAUAUAGCGUCCAGUGGCGUGCACAGGUUGAGGAGGUUAAGGGUCAUUUCUCUCUCUCAUUGAAAUUGGCUUAAAAAUACAACAAAUAUGUGUAUUAAUUUAUUAAUUGUAUCUUGAAAUUAUAUAUUUAGUCAAAUUAAGUAAGAAAAAUUCUCGACUGGAAUUUUUGGAUCCGCUUUUUAAAUUCUCAUUGUCGAGUUAGGUUUAACAGAAGGGAAUUUUACGAUUUACUCAUGAAAUCCCGUCCAAUUAAAAUUUCUUGGGAACGAUACUGAUAGUGUCUAUAGUUUACCUAUACCAACAUUCUUAAUACUUAUAUAUUAUGUUGUAGGUUUUAUUUCAGUAGUAUAUAUAUAUAUAUAUAUAUAUUAUACUAUAUUACACAUUAAAUAUUUUGCUUGUUUACUUUUGCUUGCUUUUCAUACUUAGAUAUUAUAUUAUAUUAUUUCAGUAAUAGUAAGAGAAGCGUACUGUCAUCAUCAGUUAUAACUAUUAUUUGUUGAUUUUAAGCUUCUACUAUCAGAAAAUAGAUUUUACAAAUUUAAAAAAAUAUACUAUAAAUGUUUUGUCUGAAUCCGAUCAAUAUUAUAGUAAGUAUAUGUUUUGAACGAAAUUAAUUUUGUUUGAUUUUAGAAAAUGGUUGUAUUUAUAAUACAUAAUUUAAGUACAUUUAUUGUAAUACGAAAAUCAUAGAUGAAACAAUUGUCUCAUUUGGCAGUCAGUUAUUUUCUGUAUUUUGUUUAUCACUCCGAAAUUUGUUUCCUUUUGAUCGUUUUUUGCGAAUUUUUAAUAAUAAUACUAAUAAAAAAAAGAGACGGACAUACUUCACAAGUAGGUGGGCUACUGUUAGCUGAGAAGUUAGGAAGGUAGAAGGGAAGUUUAAUGUAGGUAUAUCUGUAUUCAAUGAUGUCACAUUAUGGUGAAUAAUUACAUAUGCUAUAUAUAAUUACUUCAGGAAUAUUUGUUUAAUAUUGUAUCUAUUAUCAUAUUUUUCCCCGGUUUUUACCAAGUUUUUCUCAUUUAUUAGGAAAACUCCUGGGAAAAUCAAAAAAUAACUUCUCACUUCAAGAAAAUUUCCUUUCAAAAAAGUCCUUUAAUACUUCGGAGCAAGACUUUUGGUAGAAUUUUUAUAUACAGUGUAGAAAAAAUAAUAAUAAUAAUAAAAAAAAAAAACAUUUUUGUAAAACCAAUAAAUCAUUCGAUACAUUCAGAAUCUAAAAUAGCUAGUGGUUUAAACAUUAAAAACAUGCCUGUUGAUAAAUAUAAUUACGCCGAUAAUUAUUAUAUCGUGUCUAUCGGUCGUGCCAUCCGAUUCGUGAUAAACUAUCACCGGAUACGUGUAUUCUAUACAUUAUAUGCUUACAAAAUAACGUAUUAUAACAGCAUUGCAGUUGUUAGUUAAAAAUAACACAAAAACUAGAAACACGCAACGACACGGAUGACAGUCUGUAUAAGUAGAUAAUGGAUUUAGGACGACGAGGAAAAAAAUCCUCCUCUGUAUUAUUCCCCCAGAGGUAUUAUUAUUAUAGGGUUCGUGUAUUAUCGCGCCGUAAAAUAUAUAGACUGCAGAUGUAUUUUUUUUCCUGGUGGUUUCUUUUUUUUUUUAUCUUUAGCGUAUAAAUAUAUGUAUAUAGAUAUUUUAAUAAUUAGUAUAAUGAAAAAAUAAAAUUACGACGAUAAAUUUAAUAUAAUUAUACAGUUUAUAUAACCACACGUAUAAUAUUACGAGUAUGUAAACACAAUAUUUUUAUACACUACUUGUUUAAAAUUAAAAAGUCACUGUAUUCAUAAAUUCGCAUGCAAUAUACUGAAUAAUAUUAAAUAUAACUAUAUCAAAUAACUAUUAAUAAAAACAACUAUAACUAGCUGAUUGUAUGUACAAGAUAUGAAGUUUGACAGACAUAUAUUAUUAUAAUUUAUUAUAAGAGGGAAAACUGUAUCGAUUCUUCUUUAUAUCCUUCGCCUCCAUCCAAACAAUUUGAGAUCGGCUAUCCUCGUCCUCGUCACAUCACAAACAUCCGCUGCCCUCGUACCAUUCUCAAUCACAUCUAAUCACUUUUUCAGUAUUUCUCUCCCCAUUUUUUAUUCUACAUUUAUUUUCAUUGUGAUUGUUACUGCUUCUGAUUUCUCUCUCCCUCAUACUAUGCCCAAACCAUCUUGGUUUAUUUUAUUUUAUUUUGUCUACUAUUGAAACUAAAUCUAAGUUACCUCUUUUAUACUCAUUCGUUUCCUAUCUUUUCUCGUAGUUUUCCUUAUCCAUCUAAGUAUUCUCAUUUUUGUUACACUUAUUCUCUGUUCUAUAUUUCUCUCUACCACCUAACUCUCCAAAUCAUGAAAUAUAGUCUGUCUCACGAUACUGUUGUAGAACUUAUGUUUAAGUCUCAUUGGAAUUAUUUUAUCAUAUAGAACACCUCUACUCUCCAUUUUAUCCAAUAACACUUAAUACUAAGUUUCACAUUCUCGCUAUAGUUCCCGUUAUUUUGUAUAAAAGACCCUAGGUACUUAAAAGUUUCAACCUUGCCUAUUAUGUCACCUCUUAUUGUUGUUAGCUGUUUUUCCUGUUUUUCCACUCAUAUUUUGUAUACUCUGUUUUACUUUUACUUAUUCUUAGCCCCUUACCUUCAAGUGCUACUUUCUAUUCCUCGAGCCUAUUACUAACUCCUUCUUAAUUUUCUAUUAUCAAAGUUAUAUUAAUUUCAAACAUUGGUACCUCUUCUCAUUUGAUGUCCUCACAUACAUUCGGGAAAGGACAAUCCGUACAAAAACACCUCACCACUGUAUGCCAAAAUUUUACACCAGCUGUCGACCUGACUCAACCCCAUUUAUCACUUCUGAUGGUAGGUAGAAGUCUCGUGCGGGAGUUUUCUAAUCUCCUCCCAUAGGGAGAAUUGUCUCUCAUCCUACAGAAACAGUAUCAUAUGCUAACUGAAAUCACUCACUUGAGGUUUCCACCAAUAAGAUCAUUAUAUGCACUUCUGAGAGAGAAAACUGUAUCCAAUUAAUUCAUAAGAUAUCUGUGUUUAUACCAUGAAUAAUGUGAUAAUAUUAUAGAAACAAUUUAAAAUGAUUUGUAUAUUAUCGCAUUGAUUUUUGGCAUAAAUAAAUGUAUUUUAAUACAAUUUGAUCUCUCAGUAUAUUAUGGUUUCCUAUUCAAAAUUAUAUAUUAAGUCAGUUAUUUAUUAUAGUUGUUUUAAAAGAUAAGUGUAAGUAUGUGGUCUCCCGAAAAAAUUAAUAAAAUGUGAAGCUCAAAAUUAAGUAUGGUAAUAUUAUAGAACGAUUUUUAAUGUACACAUUUAUUUAUUUAUAUUAUACGAUUUCAUAUAGAAGCAUAGAAUACAUACAAAUAUUCAUAACAGUAAAAUGCCACUAAAACACUUAAGUCGUGUCAUAUGAUACCUCUAUGCAAUUAUAUUAUAAUAAAAUUUAAUAGGUAAAAACAAUUGUCAUGUUUCUGCCAUUGAAGACAUAUCUCUAUUGCAAAUAAACAUUGGAUUUAAUAUUGUAUAUAUGGUAUGCAUGACACAUGGUGUUAUUUAAUAUGAUAUAUAGGAUGUUUAAAACAGUAGAAUAUGAUAAACUCAUUUUAUUUUGAUUAGACCACACUAGGUAUAGAGAUAGACCGUAGCCCGUAGCCCAUAAACUCGCUGUGUGGUUAGGUUAUGUGUUCGGUAUAUUGCAUACUAAAGAACAGCUGUUUAAUAUAUCCUUAUGGAAUAUGUGAUAAUAGUCCAUUUUUCCUUUUUAUAACACGAACGAUUAUCAAUAUAAAUUUAAGAAAGUGUGAUCGCGCGUAGUUGUGAUAAUAUUAUCAUAAUUACAAUAUUGCCCGCAUUAUCAUUAUAAUAUCGAUUGGUACAGACAAAAAUAAUAUGUAUUUGUUUUAUAGAGAUGUUACAUAAAAAAUAGAAUUGUGAUACCUAUAAUGUAAAAUUCAAUAAAAUAUAUGUAUUUAUUUAUGUUUUCGCAACCCUAUAAUAAUGGGGUUGUUUAUAAUAAGCUUUAAUACAAAGUAUAUUAAAUGACCUUUAAACAGUGUAAAGCUCACGGGAGGAAAUAUUAUACCUACGUAUAAUAAUAGACGAUUAUUGUUAUUUUAUAAUAGAUUGACCUAUCUGAGCUCUCAAGUUUGUGAACUGAAAAAUAAAAAAACCGCUUCAUUAUCUACGUAUAUAACUAUAAUACCUUUAUGCUCCGAAAAAACCUUGACUAUGUAUAUGCAGUAAAAUUCUUGAUUAGUAUGCAAUAGUAAUACUUUCUAAAACUGAAAAAUAUUAAAUAUGUUCAACGUACGUUUUAUGUUAAAUCAUUUUACACCGUCUACGAGUAUUGAUUAGGUAGAUAUAUACAUUAUAAGAAAACGGCAAAUUUUUUUUUAAUUUGUUAAAUAAAUUUUGUUUUUGACAGUACUUUCGUGAGUACACAUAUUAAAAAAAAAAAACCCCAUUAUCGGUACCUAUUUACAUAAAAUUCACAAAGAAAACGUAAAAUUAUGAUAAAAUACGUCAACAUUUGGCGAAAAUCAUCUCAUAUAUUAUGCGAAAUAAAAAAAAACGUUUAAAUGAAUGAACUGGCUAGCCUCUAACAAAAAAGAAAACUAUUGAUUGAAUUGUAUAUUCAGUUAGAAAAAGAAUAUAUACGUACUUACUCAAAAUAAUGAAAAAUGGUGUAAUAUUAUUGAAUCACACUCAGGCUACAAAAUGUAUAUUCCAACAUUAUAAUAUACCUACAAGUAUUAUAUUCCUAUAAUGGCACGGUAAGAAUGUCUCACCCCGAGGCGAAAAUGAUCGAGUACUCGUUCACCUACAUAAGUUAGGUACCUAUCAAGUGGUACGAUUAUCGCACUUUGUGAACUUUUAAAUCAAAUAUGAAAGCUUAAAAGUUGUGCAGGUAUGUACUAGGCAGAUAGUAUACAAUACGUCAUCCGGAUUAAGUUCUUAGAUGAUUGAGGUUUUUCUUCACAGUUUCAAAGUAAAAUAAAAACGACCACAAGCCGCUACUGCACGAUAUUAUUAAAUUCCAUACAUGCUAUGUUAAAAUAAUAAUACAAAUUUGUUGUGCGUUUGUUCGUUAUCACGAGUUGCCAAAUCACAGCCGAGUGCACGCAAAUUAUGUCUGAAUAUUUAAUAAUAUGUUUGAUAUGGUUUUUUUUUUUUUUUUUGUAGCAAUUUUUUAUCGCUACUUAUAGCCUAUAUACUAUAAACAUCCCAUUCAGAACAGUAGUCUAAGUCUUAAAGUUUAAUGUUCGGCUUUUUAAUGUUUCUAUUUAAUAACUACGAAAUAUGUAUAAAAGGAUGUAAAAUGUAAUAAUUAUUAUUGUUACCUACAACACUGAAUUAUAUUUCAACCGAUUUAAUCGAGUGUUUUUGUACGCUUUAAAUUUCUAUGUUCACAUUAAGUCCACACAUUUCUUUUCGAAAUAUUAAAAUCUUAUAGAAUUUAUUAAAUAUAAUACAAAUAUCUAUGCAUAUAAAUAUUAAAUAAGUUAUGUUGUAUAGUAACGUCACCGCUAGGAGUUAUUAUUUACAACGGUAUACUGUUGUAUACUCGACUUAUAUUUUAUUCAAGUGACAAAAAAAAAAAAAAUAUCUAUAUCAGGUUGUGAAAUUAUUUAAAUGGCAGAAAAAAUUAAUUAAAUCAAAAAUUAAAAUCAUAAUUUAUUUCGAAAAGAUGAAUUAAAAUAAAUAGAAAACCUUGGGUGGAACUUUCUUUUUGCAUAGGCGGAUAUCAAUUUAUGUUAAAAAAAUUGCCCAUUAGAUUUUUUCCCUUUAUAAACUGUACGAAAAAAUAAUUAAUUAUUAUUGUUCGUAUAUUAGAUAAUAGUCCAAAUUGGAUUAUGAUAAUUGGUAUAUAUAUUACUUAUGUUAAUUAAAACGAAACAUUUUUUGAAACAACAGUAAAGUAAUUUUUUUUUAAACUUAUGUUUUGUAAUAUGUUUAUAGAUACUUUGGGAAAAUUAAUAUAAAUUAAAUAUCUCAAAAUGCUUUCUGUUUUUAAAGGUGUUAUGGUUGUUACAAUAUGGUUUGAAAUAAUCAAUAUUAGAGAGGUGGUGCCGAAGUAUUUUUUGACGUUCUCAUAAAAAUUAAAAAAAAUUAAAUUAAAUUAAAUAUUUUUAUAAACUUCGAUGCUAAAAAUAUGUUUAGAAAAGUUUUUUUUUUCCAUAGUAUUGCACAAGAAAAUUGAUUAGGUUUUAGUUAUAGUUUUGAUACAAUACUGUUAGAAGAAAUACCAGGUACCUAUAGGCAUUAUGUUUGCUCAAUCGUUUUUAUAUUAAUAAUUAAAGACAUUGCUUUAAGGGAGGCGAAAGGGGUGAAUUGUUUUAUCUAUUUAUGCAUAUUAAUAUUUUUUCACUUAUGGAGUUAGUACCAUAUAGUUAGAUGUUUUAUAUUUUCAAAUACUUAUAUACUGUUAUACACGUUAUAUGGUUUUUAAUAAUUUAAAAAUGCGUUAUAAUUUUUUUCCGUUAAUAUUUUCGGAGCCGAAUAUAAACAUUAACAGAAAAGAAAAAACACCAGCACAAUUUUUGUUGUUCCAUAAAAAUAUAGUGUAGCAAAACUCGUUAUGGAGGAAUUUUAACAAUUCAUAAGGAACAGAAUUUACAAUAAGUAUAGUGUUAUUUAUUUGUUUUUGCGUAUUUGCAACGUGCAUUAUGUCAUAUACCAUAUAGUAUAUGGCAUAUACAGUUAAAAUAUGAGUUAGGCAUUUUAUACAUUAUUUUUUAUUGAAAAAUGGUUGCUACGAAUUAAUAAAAAUUAUAUAUAUCUUAUAUAUGAGCUCGUUCAAAUUAAUAUCGAACGGUUCGAAUUAAAUGUGCUGAGCUUAUCUAUGUACUUGAGAGGACAAAUAAAAGCCAAUAUUUGUGUUUAUUAAUUAAUGUUAACUGAGGAGUAUACAUAUGAGUUAUGAAAUAUAAUAUGUACUUAAUGUAGUAUUAUAACGUGAAACAUUCUUUUUUUUUUUUGUAUCUGUAGUUUAUUUUAUAAGCUCCUAGACUAAACAAUGAAUUUGUCGAUUAUUAUCAGACAAAAAUAUUAUUUAAUGCAAAAUAUGUAGUAAAAUACCAUAUUGAGAUUUAAAUUCAACUGUAGGCAAACCCAUAUUUGUUACUAAUUUAAAUUUAAUAUUCAAAUAAAUUUAUAUUUAAUAUGAUUUUAAAAAUACUUUGGCGAAAAAUCUCGCAGCUUCUUCUCCUGUCACUCUUGUAGACACGUUUAUAUUUUUUUCUUUUCGGUUACUACGCAUACACGGUACGCCACAAAAUAAUAAUUAUGUACAUAGUCCUGAUAUAACAGAGUUAGUCCCCUUAUUUUGGUAUAAUAAACUGUCACCAGAGUGCAGAAACAUUGAAUUUAGAUUUCAAUAUGAUAUGAAAAAAUUAAAUCUUUAUAAUUCUUAUCUGAUAAUAAUAUACAGGAUAUCAUGGUAUGUUUUACCAUGUAUAAAAAAAUAUACACAUAUAUAUAUAUAUAUACAAUAUAAUAAUUUAAAAAAUAAUAUGCAGUAUUAUUAUAUAGAUGAUCUACGUAUGAAUUGUUAAAUAUUUAUAUAGGACAACAAUUAUGUAUGAAUAAUCAGAUUUAUCAAAUAAUAUGCAGUGUCCAGUAUUCUCAAUCAAGGUUAAAUAAUAAUGAUUUACUGAAAAAAAAAAAAAAAAAACCUAUAUGGUAUGAUAUUCAUGUCAAAUUUCAAUAUUGCAUACAUGUUUACUGGCAUUUUUACGUUACUGCGAUUUUGCACAUUUGUGUACGGGCGUAUGUACUUAAUUGUUAAAGUGAUCGAAUAGUAAAAUAAUAAUAUUGAUAUUUUUUUUGUGGAUAAUCGGCUGUUUAUCAAAAAUUAACUACUUAAAUUCAAUUUUGCAGAUUCGCACGGUUAGAUAUCGUUCAAUAAUAUCCUCGACAUCCAGGUAAUCGAUUCGCAUGUAAUAUUUAUCAAAAAAAAAAAAAAAUUUACACGAUACUUAUAAAUAAAAUAUAACAUACCGUUAUAGAUCAGGUAGAUAUUCAGAUAGGUAUUAUCAAUGGUAUACUGAAAAUACUGCGAGCCUUACCGAAAUCUUGAUAUUAUGCGAAUAACUUACGUAAUUAUUGCAGUAUAUAGGCAGGAUAAUUUCGGAAACCAUUCAACAAGCUUGAUAGUUACAACCGCGUAUUUAUAUGUAUGAUACUGAAUUCGGUUACGUAACUAUGUUAUGUGUAACCAGUAUUCGUCAGGGAAGGGUGACUAAAUUGCGCCAUUAAGGGUUGACAUCAUAUUUUCCAGAGGGAAAUGAAAAAAAAAGUCAUACAAUUAUAUUUUCUAUAUCGCGUGGUUAUAUACCAAUGAUAUUUAUAUAUACAAUUAUUCUUUGCAACACAUUAGGCAUUAGAUUUCUUGCAGGGUAAUUUCCUACUUUAUGAUCAUUGUCAUUGUAUUUUUAUUUUUAUUUUAUGCAUAUAAAAUUCACUGGAAAACCACACGCACGAUACCUCUGUAAAAUUAAAAACAAGAAAUUGCCUAUAUACGACUGCUAUGAAACGAUCGGUAUCCAAUCCCCAUAAAAGAUUAUUAUCCUUGUUAUUUAAAGCAGAAAAACUCAACAAAUGUUCGUUCAGAUUUCGAUUCAAAUACGCCAAAACUUGUAUUAAAAUAAUCUGAUUGAUAAUUUAGAUUAAAACAUGUAGGCUCUCAUUUAAAAACCAAAUUUGGUAUUCCAACUGGAUAUGUCUUUAAUGUGAAAUUAGAUUAGGAAUGUAAUAUCGUCUCUCUCUACACUUAAACAUUGCAAAAAUCAGAAUUUGAAUUUAUGCUCAUUUUAAUCAUACUAAUGGGAUACACAUGCACUGGGGAUCGCCAACUAAUUUUUCAGGGUCGCCGAAUUUAUAAAAUAUAUAUUGAAAGGUCAUUAAAAAAUUAAAUAUUCAUUUAGGGGUUCGCGACAGUAAAACGGUUGAGAAACACUGGUUUAGAAGACCUUAUCGCUUUAAUAGACAGACAGGCAUUGUGACUUUAUUUUAUACUGUUUAUAGAUACGAAUAUUAUUGAGUUUUACUUUUGAUUUUAUAUCAUAAAAUAUUAUGGUUAUAAAAUAACGUUUUAAUAUUGCGUUACGUUUUCGAAUGUUCCGAUGAUUUUUACACCAACGUCACGUUGUGUUAAUUCAAUAUAGUCCAGGUAUAAUAUAUAAUUCAAAAAUUUAAUAAAAUUAGCUAUAAGUAUUCGCUCAAGUUUGCUGAAAGCGAGAAGCGUGGAAAAUUACAUUUCCGAACUGCUGCCUGCGAAAUGCUUACAGAAAAAGUCACUUAAUAUAACGUUUUCUUUUAAUAUAAUGUCUCUGCGCUGUGGGUACCUAUAUAUAUAAAUUAUAUAUUCAAUUUGUAUUAUUAUUUUCUUUUGCAAAUUAUUUUUCAGGUACUCUCUUUUUGUUCUCGAUAUCUUAUCUAGCUAUUGUCCGUUUAAAUUACCGAGCGUUUCAUUUCAAUUGUUAUGUAGCCUGCAGCUGCAGUUUUGAUCUUUUUAAUUUUCUCGUUUUAUCCCCGGUUUUUAUAAUUAUUUUAUUUACAAUUUACAGUACAUUACACAUACCUACAAUAAUUAUUUUGUUCAAACAAUAUUAUAUUGUUUUGUUUUUUUUUUUUUUAAUGAAAUUACUAUAGUUUAUUAAAAUAUAUAAAAUAAACUUAUUUCAUGGGUACAUAAGUUUUCAUUGACACGGUGUCAUAAGAUUGGCGUAGCUAUUAUACUGGUGGGUGUGGACUACCCAUUAUUUGUGAAGAAAAAAUUUUAUUUUUGUCAAUUUCGCAAAUUAUUUACAAAUCCGAAGUAUGUAUACUAAGGUUGAUAUUAUUAUAGGCGAUUUUAUGCGAUCUUACUACCUCACCUGCAGUUUUUAAAAUAUUAACAAAUAUGUUUCACCUUUGCCUAUGCGCUCCCACAAACAACUGAUCCUCAAAUUAAAUUGUAUUACAUUUUAUUUUGAUAAGCUCUUAAUACUUGGUGGAAAUCAUCAUUACGUGCUCCCUAGGGUACUGUCGUAGAACUGUAGAUAUCUAAAUCAACCUAACUCUUCAUAGCUGUAUAUUAUUCUCAGGUAUUCUUUGACGUUUGUUUGUAUACGCAACAAACCUUGACGAUGAGGGUCCAGCGAGAGGAUUGUUUGUUAUUAUAUCUUUACUGCAAUUUUGAGGUUUUUCUGUGUGAACGAACACCAAGAAUAGGGGUCCGCAUAUUAUAGUUCAGGCUUUACUUGCGUCAUGUUACAGUGGUCUGGGUACAGUGCAGUGAAUCCUUUAGUCGGUCUAAUGUACAGUUAUAGUCUUAAGGGUACGUCGUGUAUUCAAUGGCAUGCUCCGGAAUUUUCAUUUCUGUUUGGCCAAACAGUUUAUGUAAAACAAAAUAAAAAUUAAAAAUAUAAAAUGCUUACAAACAAUUCUAAAAUCACCAGAAUGUUUUGAAUAUUUUACUACAUCUAGAAAAGGCAUACAUACAUUCUACAUCUAGAGUAUAUUGUGGAAAUCUCAGAUCUCUGCAGUUGUUUUGAACAAAAUACAAAAAAAAACUAUACGAAAAAUUAAAAAAAUACUCUCUUAUGCUGAUUAGACAGAAUUUUAUUCAAUAUAAUCCUCGUCAUUUGUUUAUUGGAGUAAGGUGUAUAAAUAAAAUUGAUUAUAGACAUAACUAAAAAAAAAAAAACAAAUUUUCACACACCAAUACAUUCUUUGUUGCGCUCAGAAUCUAAAAUAACAUCGAAUUGCUGUUGCACAGAAUACAAUUUUCAAUUAGCACAAUCUCGUGAUAUAAUAUAACCUAACCGAAUAGAGUUUAAAUAUUUAUUUGGAAUUUUUGGAAGAAUGUUUAAAUUUCGCUUAUAGUAUUAUUAUGUUACAAUUUUAAAUCAUACAUUCUGAUAAUACACGCGUGACGUAAAAGUUUUAAUAACAUUCUUGAUUCGAAUUUGAAGUUUUUUUUUAAUGAAACCGUAUAAUUUUACUAAAAAAUAAUAAUAUAUUUGGUUAAAUAAUACCUAGAUAAUAUUAAUCGAAAAAAAUAUGCGUUGUAAUUAUCUUUUUCGUAAGAUCUAAUAAACUUCUUUUAAAUAAAUAAUAUUAUAAUUUUUCAAGUAAUCGCCAUUUAAUGGAUUUGUCGUUGGAAUACAAAUUAUUAUCUUUUAUGCAAAUGCGAACCCAGUUUCAUCGCCUAUGUAAAAUAUUAAAUUUUAGUAGGCUUUAGGUUUUUAAAUAAAAGUUUCUGUCCGUUUUAGCCGUCCGCCGGUUGUUAUAAUUCGCAAGGAGAAGCAUACAAAUUGGUAUCGUUAUUAUUAAUUUAAAUAUAAAUUCGUAAGAGUUUUACUGUUAAAAUAUAUUAAGUAUACACAAUAACUUUUUACAUAGAUUAUUUUCAACUUAUUGUAAUCUUAAAAAAAAAAAUCAUGACUAAAAUAACAGUGAGUCAUUUUUUGAUGUUUUUAGAUUUAUACAAUUGUUUUAUUAAAGCCACGUUCACGCACAACUAGUUAGGUUAUUAUUAGAAAAAUAAUUUUUUUUUUUAAUGAAAACACUCAUUCUUGAUUAUAGAUUAUCCAGGGAUGGAUGUAGUGAGGGGUGCUAGGUUAUCAUAGCAUUCCCCUGGUCUGGAUGUUUACUUUUUUUUCAGUAAGAAAUUAUUUAUUAUAAUUUUUGUAUAUGAUAAUCCUGCAGUGUCAUCCUAAUGCUAAUAAUUCUGUCAAUAUUCAAUUAUUUUUUCUGGUUUUGUAUUAGGUUGACAUAUAUGUAGUGAAGAAUUAAAUUAAUUUAAAUUUCUUAUUUAGUCUUCUAGAAUAUUUUUGUCAUUUUCUCAUGUUUUUUUUUUUAUAAAAUUUGCGGUCUGCAUAAACUAAAAUGAUUGAGAACCACUGUAAUAGAAGAUAAGGAAUUACCGUUCUGAUUGUGAUUCCUUACCGCGUAACAUGUUAUUUUAUUGAAAAUUACUUGUUUUUACGUCAAUUUUCUAGAAAGUAAAAAGAUUUAUUUUUAAGAAACUAUUGAUUGGAUAUUAAUGUAUAAUACAUUAAAAUUGUUAAGUGUGUUGAUGUUAUUGUUUUAUAUUAAAAUGUUGUUUUACUUUUUAUCCAAACUGAUCCAUCAAACAUAACAAUUAUAUGUUCAAAAAAUAUUUAACUUGUUAUUUUCAAAGGUGGCAAAUUAGCAAGAAAAGUUUUAGUCGAGUGAGCGUGGCCGUGUGAAAAGCAAUCGUUUAAACGUAUAGAUAUAAAAGUUUUUCAGUAGUACAUUUUAAACGAAAUUUCGUUGUAAGCGCGGAACUGUCGGUUGUUAGAGUCGCUAUAGUAUUAUUAUAUUUUAUGUGGGCCAAAAUAUACUUAAAACGUCAAUCUUUAUACAGGCAUACGGUAUACUUUAAACUGGCUAUUCCGUCUAUAAACACCGAGCUAACAUCGUUUACGCAUUUAAGUUUGAUAAAAUUGAGUUUAAAGAUAGAUUCUUAGACUUUUGGUGACAGAUUAAUAUUAAUAUAAUUUCGAUGUAAAGAAAAUAAUUACAAAAUAACAAUAAAUACAUAAUUAUAAGUUUACCUAAUAAAAAUAAAAUUUGUUUAACGAUAUAUUAUAAUUCCAUUAAAUAAUAUCACUUUAAAAAUAUUUUAAAAUAUUGUACAUUAAAGUCAUAGUAAAAUAUUAUAUGAUGCGUAGACAAAUAUUUCCCUUUUAGAUUCCAAGAGUAUCGAGAAAUGCAUUGGUUUUUUAUUAUGUGUGUGUCAUUUUCUUAUCUGCGCAUAAUUUUUCUACCAAAUAUACUGUUCCAAUAAAAUAAUGACAAGAAAGCUUUUUUUAAAUCAUUACGGAUCUAGUUAAUGCAUCAAAGAUGUCUCUUUUCCAUAUCCCAAACAGUUUUCAUAGUAGUUGAGAAAAACCGGAUAAAGAGAUAUAGGAAAAAUAUACCAAUUUACGAUUGUAAAAGUUACUUUAUUUUAGAUUUGUUUGGUUUUGUUUUUCAAACAGAAAUCUUUUUCCGAAAUUAACGAGUAGCAUCUUUUCUGAAAGAAAAUUUUAUCUAGUUUGGACGUAAUAAGAUGAUUAUUUAUGAAGUUUUCUUAAUAAUUGGAAAAAAAACGAAAGUAAAAGAGGAAAGUUAAUAGUAUUAAUGGUUUCAUUAUUUCUGAAUACUAAAAAAAUCAUUCAAAUCUUUAAUUUUCUUGUAUCUUUAAAACAAUAUGUAUCCAGUUAACGUACUUGCAAAUGCAAUAAAUCAAUUUAGGCCCACUAUAAUUACACAAUACUUAAAUGGAAAAAAAAAUUUCCAAUGCUUCUAAUUCAACCACAAUUUUUUUUUUGGACAACCUCAGAGAAACCAUUAUUAAACACAUUAUUAGGUAAUAUUUAUUUUUCAUUAUUAAUACAUUUUUUCAUAAAAUAAUAAAUGCCUCUAAAAAUGUUUAUCUCCGGGUAUUGAAUUUUCUUAAUCUGUGCUCGAGUCUAGAUAAUAUAGGUAGGUACAUUUUAGGUUCUUAAUGGACCGAACGAGUUAUUAGAUUUAACAAUGAUAUCAGCGUAUUAAAACUUUAUAUUAUAGUAAAAACACUUUUUAGAGUAAUAAAAGUUCUUCAUAAGUCUCAUAAAAUCCCCCUCGUAUCGAUUGGCUAUCGGUUAUAAAGUAAUGUGUUUUUUUUUUUUAUUAUUGUUUUGUCAGUAAACACGACUACGGGUAGAUUAGUGCUCGAAAAGUUUUAUGCAGCCACUUUUUCUUUUUUUUUGUGAUUAAUUUGGCAAAAAUAAAAUACCAUUAUAAACCAAAAGAAAGUUUACAUAGAAUAUACGAAAUUAAAAUAUAAAUUUAUUUUCUAAAAAUCUAAACUAUUAUGAUAAUAUUUAAAAUAUAUAAGGUGAUUGUUUACUUGAUCGUAGAUAAUUUUAAUAUUGAAUUUGGGUUCAUUCAAUCAUUUAAUGAUCUUAUUUACAAUAUUUUAACCAUUUUACUACUUUUUUGUACGCCGUAAACAAUGACACAACCAGGAUUUAUUUUCGAAGGAGGUUUUGUGAAUUUGAAAAAAAAAAAUCACUUUCGGAUGGUAUUUGGUGGGAUGGAGGAAGUAAGAUUUAAUUAAGUUUAUGAGUAAAAUUUUUAAUUUUUUUAAUAUUCAUUUAUAGACAAUGCAUUUUGAAAAACUAUUUAGACUCGUAUUAAUUAUGUAUUUAAAAUAUAUACUUUAUACAUAAGUACAUGGUGGGCCAUUCAAAUCUUUUUCGGUAAUAAUAACAAAAAAAAAAAAAACAAAUUAUUUAUUUUGAAAAUUUUUCGUUUAUUUUAGACAUGGAAAUUUGUUAUGAUUACUUUUUAAAAAUAAUAUUACGUAAAUGGACGCUUUCAGAGUGAAUGAUGUAAUGUACUCGUUUUUGGCAUUUCCCAUCACUUUUCGAAGUGUUUCCAGCUGAAAAGUGUUUCCUGUUAUAUAUUAUCUUUCAACGCUUCUAAAGUCCGUGGUUAGAUUUAGGUUGAGUAAAAUUCAGAGUUUAAAUAACUCUAUGGAAAAAAGUCUGGAGGCUUUAAGUCGGGUGAUCGUGGAGGUCAGUCGAAAUCACCAUUUUUUUGAAAUUGAUCGUCCGAAGAGCAAAGUACGCAAUAAAGCGAUCAUAGCUCCAGCUGUAUAAGCUGUAGCGCCAUCUUGUUGAAAAUAUUUUCAAAAACAUUUCCAAAAUAAACGAAAAUAUAUUUAAAAUUAAUUAUUUUUUGUUUUUUUGUUUUAUAAAAUUAUUAUUAAAAAACAUCCCGAAGUUUUAAAUGGCCCAAACUGUAAAAUAAUAAUUAUAAUAAUUUACAGUCUAAGAUUAAUUCUUCGAGUAGAGUGCCUCAACAUUAAGCACUGAAUCUGGUUUAACUUCAAUGUCUAUAUUUAUGUUUAAAGUGGCCAUUCCAUUAAGUUUCUGCCAUCCUGUAUUGUUCUUUAAAUUCGUUUUUAGCCUUGAAAGUGCAAUAAAAUAAUGAUCUUUAUAAUGAUAGUAGUUAUCACUUAUUCAUACACGAUGUUUUAACAUUAUGUUUCAAAUUAGUAUGCAAUCAUACAACUGCGUAGGCACUACGUAAAUUCGUAGUAUUAACCUCCCGCCCCUAGUUACGCCACUGGCUGCAAAUACAAAAGUAGUUCUUAAAUUUGAAAUAGCGACCUUCAUCCUUUUUAAAUCUUUCAUAAGUAAAUUUUUUUAAAAUCGUUGAUAAGUUUAAAAAUUGCAAGUUUCAACACCAAAAAUAUUCAAGUUUGUAAGUUGUAUAAUGUAUAUACAAAAAAUAAUAAUAAUAAUAAUAAUAACACUGUGAUUACGUACCUUACUUGUCGUGUUAAUCGUCAUUAGGCACGGGGAAAUAUAAAUGGUAUAGUUUUAAACAGAUCCUAGAGUUCAAAUAAUAUAAUAUAAUUAUAAUUGCUUAUUUUCGUUCAUUUCGAUUGCUAACUUGAUUGAUUAUAGUUAAAAAUGUUUUUUUAUAGUUUUAAAAAGAUUUUUGAAGUGCAGUUUAUUUCAAGAUUAUUUUUGGUGAUUUUAAAUGUUAUACAAGUCUCGAAUUCUGUUGAUAAACAAUUGAAGAACCAAAAUCUUUAUAGUUAUUCGUUAGCUUGUAAUAAAACAAUUUCCUUGUAUAAUGAAAAAUAAAAAAAGAAUAAUUUUUCUCGAUAAUUGAUAAAUUAUAAUAGAAAAACAUAAGAUUAAACGCAUUAUUAUUUUUAAUAUAUUAUAUUAAAAAAUGAAUACAAUAGACAUUGGUCAAAUGAAAUUGAUUUUCUUUAUGACGAAUGUUUACCGAACUAGCAGAGUCUGGAAAUGAAGGAUUACUACACGGACGAAUCAAUAAUGGUCUGCAAACGACAAUAAUAUAAUAUUUUUAUGAUAUAUGUAUGUACAUUACAGUAUAUAUAUAUACAUAUAUAUUUAUAUAUAUACAUAAUAUGUAUUAUAAGAAAAGUCAGAAAAGUUAGUUGAACAAAGUUUUUCGUACUUUUAAAUAUUUUGUACAAUAAUACACUGCACGAGGUUCAUUUCAAAUUGCAUAUUAUAAAAAUCUGUAAAACAAAUAAAGUAGAUCUUUAAAUAAAAAUAAAAACCCUGGAAUUAAAUUUUAAAUGUUGAAUGUGUGGUGUGGACUGUAUUGAUUUUACUUUGAUGUGUGUGUUUUUCUUAAUCUUUUUAUUUUUUUAAGUAAUACUUUUCUACCAGAACUCGAAUUUCUAGCACAAAUGUCGUCUGGUCUGUGCAUUAGGUAGAACAAUUUUAGCUAUAUAAAUUAAAUAAUCAUAAUGUAUAGUAUAUACUAUUCUCAAUUUCUUACUUAUAACAUGUGGCAUACCCACGGUGCGUAGUAUAUGACUUCGGUGUUGGAUAGAAAAAUAAAUUGAAAAAAUAAAAAACAAUUAAACCUAAUGGCUAUACUGUAAAUAAAUACGUUAUUUCUCGAUUAUUAGGAAACAAUUGAAAGCGAAAUCAAAAAACGACCUUUCCAAGGGACCAAAUAGAUCCAAUAUGCUACAAAAAGAUAUCUUGUUAUUCUUUGAUCAUUGGUAGAAAAGUUGUUGAACAGAGGUACAAAAAAGUAGUCGGAGCAUGUUUUGUUGGUCUUUUUGUCAAAUCGUUAUUAGACCAUGAAUCUUUUUGUUUGCUUUGAGUUUUAAUAAUUAUAGUUAUAGUUUCAUAAUUUCAUGUUGUUUUAAAUUAUAUUACCAAAUUAACUUAUUGUAAAAAAUAAUAUUACAGGUUAUAAAUAUACUUUUAUUUAAAGAAAAUAAAAGCUAACAAAAAUAUUAUAAUUAUUUCAUUAAGCGAUCGAUAUAUACAUUAACUAUACGGUCAGAAAAAGGUAUUUAUAAUUACCUAUAUAUUUGUUACCAUAAAAAUAUUCAUUUAUCAUUUUCUUGAGAGAUUUUGUGUUUGAUUUUUAACGGUUACAUAAUAUGCAUUAUUCAUAGUUAUGCUAAUUUCGAUGUUUCACAUUAUGAAAAGAAACUGACUUUGAGAGUACUAAGUUGGCAAUAAAAAAAAAGAAUAGAACAGUUUUUUUAAAACUGUAUACAAUUAAAUAAUUGAAUUUAAAUAGUGAAAAUUUUUUUUCUUGAAAAAUUGAUUAGAUUUUGACAUCCUUUAAAAUUAUUUUUUCUUUAAAUUUAUAUAUAUAUAUAUAUAUAUUUAGUUGUGAUUUAUAAAAAUUAGAUUACUUUACUUACUUCUAAGUAUUUGCGGUAAAUGAUUUUCAUACCGUUUUUUUCUAUGCAAUGUUUAAAACGACGAAUAAGAGUCUUAAUUUCAUACACUCAAUGCGAUUUUUUGAUUAUUAUUAUAUACAAUCAAUAUUUAGUUUUAACAACUCUAUUAAUUUUGAAUAGUUCAUCAAAGAUGAGUUCUGAAUAUCUGAUUGACUAUGGUGGGAGACGUCUCGUAGUGGUUUUCAAUAAUUGCGUAUCAAAUGGACUAUGGAGUGCAAAAUACCGGCUUUUGGCGGUUAGGUUGAUUUAGGUUAGUUGGGUUGCGUUUGUUUUGAAUAUUUAAUAUGUAUUUUAAGUGUACGCCGAAAUACCUUUAGAUCUUCCAUUUGUUUCCUGAUUUCAAUUUUAACAUUUGUUUUGUUAUCACAAUAAUAUUGGUAGUAAAUACUUGUAUGUUUACAAACACUAUCAAUAAUGUUUUUAUGCUUUUUGAUAUUUUGUUAAUUUUAUAACAAUACCACAUUUGUUAGGAUUUUUAUUCAAAAAUGUCCAAAAAAAUAAUCGAUUAUUUUGGUUAUGGAUACACUGAAAAUUAAAAAAAAAAAACUUAUUUUUCUUUUAUUUCAGAUUUCCUUUUAAAUUUAUAGUUUAGCUAACUAUUAAUCUAUUAGUUUCACUAUGAUGUGUUUUUUUUCUCGGAAUAUUUUAUCAGUUUAUAAAAAAGAUUUGAUUUUUUCCUUGUCAUCAUCAAAAGAGACGGAUUUUUGUCCGAUGUGAUUUUAUUGGAUUCAUUUUUCGAAAUUCUUAAGACUUAUUCCAAAAAAUUGCUUUUUAUAUUUUUGAGAACUCUAUAAGUUUUGCAAAUUUUUCAAUAAUUUCACAUAGUACCAUAAAUGAUACAUUUUUAUAUAGUGGUACUUAAUUUGAUUAAUAUAUUGUCAUUUUCAGUGAUUCACCAGUUUAUUAUUAUAAUGUUAAACGAAUUAAAGUUGAUGUAAAAUUCGGAUAGCACACGGAAAUUUAAUCACCAUUAGAAAUAUUAAACGUAGUUUAUAUUUUUAUUUAGGGUUUAAACCCCUCAAAAGUUCCUGCUACUGGUAUUUAUGAUUUUUGAACGAAAAAAAUGCGCUGUAAAAAUAUUUGUGUAAUUUGCACAGAUAAAUAUUUUGACACAAAAUUUUCGUAUUUACUAUUAUUAUUAUUAUAAUUUUUAAAUUAUAAAAUACCUAAAUUAACAUUGACAAUUAUUGAUAUUUGAAUAGCUUAUUAUUAAUUAAUAUUUCCAUAUUUGAAUGAGCGAAAGUUUUUGAGUGAAUCGAGCAAAUUUUCAAGAUUUACCAGUUUUUUGAAGAUGCUUUUUAUUAUUAUUAUCAAUAUUUUUUUUUUAUUAAACUGCUUUCUUUCGGUAUUAGUAAAAAUGAUCCUCGUGAUUUAAUUUUGAAAAAUGUCGGAUAUUUUUUCCUAGAUUCCUGGUUUCUUCGGUUACAUAGAGUAUGCUUCUAAUUAUUAUUUUUUUUUAAAAUACCAAUAACAUAUAUUGAUUGAAUACUUUUUUAUUGGCAAUAUUAUUAAAUUAAUAACUUUUCAAAAAAAAAAUUUAAACAAAAAUAUUCACUAAUCAAUCAAUUUAUACAAUUAAUUUUAAUCAAGAAAAGAUUAUUCUGAAUACAUGAAAUUACCUAUAGGUACUUGCUUUUUUCAAAACUCAGAAUAACAUGCAGUUAACUGAACGACAUUCAACAAUUACAAUUUAACUCACUAUUUAUAAAAUUAACUUAAAAUCUAGAAAUAUAUUUAGUUACAAGUUAAGUUAUAGGGAUAUAUCAAACGUUAAAAACUAAAGUUAAAAAGUUACUAACUUAACUUGCAUUAUUUUUUAAUUAUUAGUUAAAAGACGCACCCUUGGUAUUUUAAAUUGAAUAAUACUAUAAAAUGGUUUACGAACAUUUUAGUAUACGAAUAAAUAAUAAUUUUUAACGUUUUACCUUUUUAUUUUACGCGUCGAAAAGCACAAAAGGAAUAGUUUUUUUUUUAACUCUCGAUAAAUAUAAAAGACGAUUCGAAUAUUGGAUAGUAAAUAAACAGUACCCAUCCAGUUGUACAAAAGUAGGAGGUAACCGUUAGUUGUAGACUGGCAAUUCCUCGAGGAAUUAAUCAAAACAAAUCCAUAUUUAUACCUGUGAAAAACACAUUUACUGUUUAUUCAGGUCGCUUUCUCGGCUUAUGUCAAUAAUAUUCGAUUCGAAAUUCGGCUCUUCCUGCGCAAUUUUCCAACGCGCAAUUAAAUACUUAUAUUCACAAUUAUGUAGAGAAUUCAGAUCGGACGGGUACGUCUCCACCGUUAUCGUAUUGAAAUUGAUAAUAUAUUUUAUUUGGUCGACAAUAAUGAUAUUAUUGUAACAAUAAUGUCUCGACUAAAUCAGACACCACACCUGACGCAUUGUAUACUGAUUAUUGUCUCUACCUAACUAGUGACGUAUAUAAGGGAUGAGGUAUAUAUCUCCCCCCAUUUUGAGUAGUUAUUUAUAUUACUUAUUGGAAUAUUUUAAUCGAAAAAAUCGGAAACGUGUUGUAAAAAAAAAAAAAAAAAAACUGAACGUAUUAAUUUUAACCAUUAAAAUCAUGAAGAAGGUUUAAUUAGUACCUAAAUAGUAUUGAUGCACUAACAAUAAUUGAAUGAAAAAUUAAUUACAAAAAUAAAUAUGUUUUUUUAACCUAGGUAUAAGUUAUACAAUCUGACAUACAUUUCAAUACAUUUCAUACAUUUAAUAUCUCUCUCUUUAGCAAAAUUAAAUUUUGAACAUAGAUAAAGAAGUUUAAAGAAGAGAUUUUUGACGUGUUGCCGUUUUUCUAAAAUGUUGUUGUCAUUCAGAAAUUUUACAUCUGUUCGAAAAAAAACUACUCAUCGAUUUUGAAAAAAAAAAAUAGUUAUCUACUUAAAAUUUUAUUUAUUCGUAUUUAUUUGUUUUCCCUGUCCGUAUCGCAUGUAAUGUAGCAACAAAGGUAUUCUAAAUUUUCACGAUUACGACUAUCUAGUUAGUUUAGAGGGAAGUGAACUAGUAUGCAUGAACCUGUAUACAUAAAAUGAAACUAUUUUAUAAUGGACCGAAAGAAUGAUUUUUUAAAAAUAUUUUAAUUUUUUUAUCGCAAUAUGGGUGUUUUAAUUUAACUCGAUUUGUCUUUAUUUUAAACAUUAGGUAUUAAUUUAUGAAUAAAUUCAAAUAUUUACGAAAAAUCAUUCAUUAGAUAUAUAGCUAAUACUCAUCAUAACAGAAUGCAAUUUCCCCUUAAAUUCAACUACAGAGUCGCAGUUGUAGAAAUGCGAAAUGUCUUUGUUGCGAUAUUACGAACGAGACAGAGAAAAAACAAAUAUAAGUAAUGAUAGGUACAUUAAACUCUAAUUUUGACCUAAACGCCGCAAUAUUCAGUAUUCUUAGUAAAUGUGGUUCUGCAAUAUCCCUUCUGUGUUAGACCAGGGUAGUAAAUGCGGGUAUGGCGUAGUCUUCUAAAUAGUACGAUAUUCUGGUAAACUGAAUUAGACGAAAAUGCAACCGUCGUUUACUUGCUCGUAGCUUUUCGUUAAAUAUAAAUAAAUUGUUUUUUCUCCAAGUCUUUAUAAGACACCCUUUUCACAUAUACAUACAUACACACAUACACACUGACUUAAAAUAUUAAAUCCGAACCAAAACUUUUCUACAAAAGACUACAUUUAAUACAACAUACAUUCUAUAUUCUAUUCAAAUUGCACAGUCUUAUCGAAAACUUAUCGACUUUCCCGAAAUUGCCGGAGACGAUCAUCCAAAAUUCCUUAAGCGUAUAAGACGAUAGCCGCCGGUGAUGCUGAUCAAUCUUUUGCAAAAUUAAUAAUAAGAACGAUUAAUGGUGCAUUUAAUAAUGAAAUAAAAUAAGGAAUAUAUUACUCAUUGUAUAAUCUAGUAUAUCUCAAUAUUUAUAUAUUUUUGACAACGACAAUUCGUUGUUGAACGAUGGUUCCGAGUCAUUAUCACGUUACAUUCAGUUUAUCACAAGAGGUUCAAGUGCGAUUUUCAAUACGUAUAAUAAGAGUAUUAUGUUGUUUACAUUUAAAGCUCAAAUGGUGAUUCUCACCCAAGGGUUAUACAAAUUAAUCAUUUUAUAUGACUAUUAGAAAUAUUAAAAAAGUUAGAGAUUUAUAAACCUUUUCGUCGUUAUAAAUUUUAAAUUAUUUUUAAACUUAUUUUCAAUACGAAUAAUUUAUAAUAAUUUUAGCCAUACCUUUAUGAUUACCAACCAUCCGCGGUUUUUUCUCGGUAAUUAUAACGACUGCAGAAAUAUAAUUUAACGCUACCAACAACAUACCUAUAACUAUAAGUUCUAACUUUUUUUCAAUUUUAUUCGUGGGUUAUUUCCCAAAAGAUUUUCACUCUCAUUGUAUCCAUAUAGAAAUAGAAAACUCAAGGACGUUUAUUUGUGUUAAUAACGUUGUGUGAAAUAUUGCUUUUGUAAAAAAAAAAACCUUAUCCUCGAAUAUCCUGUUGUGCAUCAAACGAUAAAAAUAUAUUUUAUACGACUUGAAAAAUAAUUUAAAAUAAAAUGGAUUACUAUUAUAAAUAAACGUAUUUUUGACACUGAAUAAAAACUUUAACUUUGAGUAGGGGUACUACACUUUAAUUUUAAAAUUCUUUAUCUUAAUAUUUUUUUACCAAAAUUAUUAAAAGUAUAAUAUUUUUAACGUGAUUUAAAAGUAUAAACUUAUUCGUUAUCAUAAUUAUUUUUUGUUUCAAAAUUUUACAUUUUACGCAUUUAUGUAUUAAAAGUACAUGUAAAUAUUGCUUGCUAACUACAAUGAUUGUUCAUGAUAGAUGAAAAAAAAGAAGAAAAGAAAUCGAAUUUAAUUUAAAUCUUCAGAAUUCUAUGUAGUGUUUCAAAAUGUCUCGUGGUUAAUGAAUUAUCUCGGAUAAAAGAUUUUUUUUUUCUGAAAUACCUAAAAAAAUCGUAGACGUAAAAAUAUGUAAAAUAUUGUAAAGAUACAAAAUACGGUUUACUUGGUCAAAUAUUGGUUUAUAUUAAGUAAGGAUAGACAUGUCAAACUUCAAAUAGGUAUAUUUAGAUUUGUUUAAUGAUUUAUUAUAACAGUUUUCGUUAUCAAUAAUUAUUUAUUUUACAUAUUAACUUCUGGCCGCAAUUACAAGUAAUAUAUACAUAUAUGUAUUACAAUCGUAUUUUGAUAAUAUUUAAUAUGUAUAAAAACGAUAAGAAUUAAUGCAUUAAGAGAAUAAAAAAUGAAGCAUGCUGCCAUUAAGUAACCGAGACAUCUAUAAGGGCGCGUUGAAUUCGAUGAAUUAAAUUAGUAUGAUUAUAUACGAAGUGGAAUGAGGCGGAAUUAGAAGGGUGAUUUUAAUUGUCAAUGGAUAUGAAGGUAGUUAAUGCUAGAAAGGUGAUCAGGCGUAUCUACGGAGCCAUUAAGAAGGGACAAAAGAAACCGGAUGUCCGCUUUGCGUCGAAGUGAAAAAAAAUCCGGGAAUUUUUAACAUAUCGUUGUACGGGAGAAUAAUCGUGACGAGUGUACUCAAUUUUAAGUAUAUGAGUUGAGUUAGAGGGAAAUCGAUAUUGUACCCGCUCAAGUCUUAAUUGAUCUAAGCUAAGAUAAGAAUGUCAAACUAAUAUUUAUAUGUUAUUAUCUAUCUAUGCCACCCUCAUGUUAGUAUUUAAUUAUGUACUAGCUUUAUAAAGUAAAGUGAUUUAACACCUGUACAAUUUGAUCGAUCUUUACAGUAGUCAAGUUACGAUAAAAACAUGGAUAUUUUGACAUGAACUAUUAUUUUUUAAAAAAAAGUUAAUAAAUACGAAAUUAAUUACAUUUGGCGUAAUAUUAUGUAAUUAUAGUAUUUGAUCUGCACGUGAACUAAAAUGUAUGCAAUAGAGAAAUUUAAUUUUUUUUUUAUGACAGAAUUUAGUUUAAAAUAUGAAAUUUUCAUACCUACCCAUAAAUUUAAUCUUAUCGGUUGAAACAUUUUGUUUUACUUCUUUUCGUUCAUAUUUUAUUUGAAAAAAAUAUAUCUAAUAUCAGAACGACAUAGACAAUAUUUGAUUUUCGAUGGCGUAUAGGCAUUGAAUUUUUUUUAUAGGUUCUUUAUUCGGAUUAGUUUUAUAUUUUGUCAUACAUGGUAGAUAUAUUGGUCACUCGUAUUUAAAUACUGACACGUUGAAUUGCACACCGGAUUAUUUCGUUUGGUUUUUACCUCAGAUAUAAUAUGUAUCCUAUAGUAUCUACUAUAUCAGUGCUUUAUUUUUGUUAACAUUUUGGACUCAUGGCCGUCUUUUUGAAUUACGGUUUUCUCAGGGUGACCUGAAUUCAUUGCGAUAAAAAAUCUAUUCCGAUCGGAGUAUUACAGGUGGCGGUGUUUAUUGUUUUUUCAAAACAAGUUGAUAUAUGAAAUAUUAGUUUCCAUUAUUCCUUUCCAUUACGAUAAACAGUUUAUAAAUCGGUUCAUUAUCCGUGCCGAUGGUUUAUUUUUUUCCCAACUGCUAUUGAGAUACCUAUUCCAGUAUACGUAAUAUGACGACGACGUAUUAAUUGAGAUUUAAGUUUCGGCACUGCCAGUGUUCUAUUUAGUUUUCUCGGGGGGGUUCGUCUGGUUUAAUAUUACUGUACAUAAUAUAUUAUAUAAUAUAGAGCCGAGUUGGAAAUCUGAGGAUUAGAAUAGUUUGACGGGAGGCCGCAAGAAUGUUUAUACGAGAUUGCUGCGAUUUUCGCCGCGUAAAUGGGCUCUUCGUAAAUUAUUAUAAUAAACGGUAGCCGAAUGCGAUUUGAUCCGUGUGUUCAAAUAAUAAUAAUAAUAUUAUAUAAUCUUAUGGCUUAAGAUCAUAUCAUAAUAAUUAUUAUGACGUCUAUUUCUUUGGUUCCAGGGAAGGCGGGUUUAAUAGUUAAUUUUGUAAUUUGUUUUUUUCUUAUUGAUGUAUACAGAAUGAUUCACUGAGCACGAUCACUCCAUUUUGAUGAUUACAUUUUGUAUGUAUUUAAAUUUUAGUUUUUGGAAUUUGUAAGUAUAGUUAAAGCAGAUAAUUUCAAAUACUUAAAUUUUCACAAUAUUUAAGAUACCAUUUAAGGUUUUUGAAUAAAAACAAAAACUUAAAAACUACUCCCCCUUUACCUUAACUUUAAGUGAAAUAUCUCAUUAACGCGUUGGCGGUAGUUAAAAAUUGUAUAGAUUUUUCAAUAUAGGUUUUUAUUUGAAAAACCAAAGUUGAUAUUACCUCAGGAUACUCCUAAAAUUUUGAGAAAAAUCUUAGUAUUCAAAAAUAUUGGCUUUAAAUGCACUUAAAAGUUCCAAAAAUCAGAAUUUGAAUAAAUGCAAAAUUAAAAAAUUAGGUGAAUCACCCUAUAUAUAAAUAUAUAUAUAAUAUAAUACAUUUUGUUUUAUACAAUUAUUUUUCGGUCUAGACGGCAUUAGUAUAUUUUCAAUAACAUAUUAUUGUAUUGAAAAUUAAAAUAUCUUCAGUCACUGCCAAUGUACUUUUUGGUCGGCAAAAAAGACAUAAUUCAUAGAAAUAUAACUAUACGUAUUGAUUCAUUUAGACUAUUUAAGGUCAUUGAAUAAUUUAGCCAUUUAGCAGUUAUACCGUUGUGCCACUUGCAAAGGCGUAAUUUAUAUGACACCGAAAAUAUGUACCUGGAUCUAUGUUAUGAAUGUACAAUAUGGCUCGAGAUACCAGCCUAUAAGUUUAACCAAAAUCGGGUGUACUUAGUGAUUCCAAAAUUAAGUUCAUUUAACGACUAUUGAUUAAAUGCCGUGUGCUGUUAAAGUAAUAGUAAAUAAUAAUAUUAUUGUAGCACGUCGUUGCUAUACGAUACAUUAAAAUUGCAAUUAAUAAUUAAUACGAUCAACGUCGUCGUUAAUAUUAAUUAUUGAAAUAUUCCUAUUGGAUAAUUUCAGACUGUUAUUUGUGUAUUCUUCGGCUAUCAUUUAAUUUCUUUAUUUUGGACAUUCCGGUUUUUGUGUUAAAAUUAAUUUUUGUGAAUUAUCCUUAUUUGUUUACCUAUUUAGUUUUGUAUUUUUAAUCGGUCUCUAAUUAAAAAUGUGUAUUAUAAAAAUAGGGGCUACAAUACUUCAAUAAUUUUUACUUUCAUACCUAUGCGUAAAAUGUUGAUAAUUCGCUCUUGAGUUUUUCAGCUUUUUCUCUGGAAAUAAUUGGCGGUUUUUUACAUUUUUUGUUUUAGCUUUUUUAUAAAAAGUGCGCACAUAAACCAAUGUCUCAAGUGUAACCAAUGUUUCAGUAAGAGUAGUUUUUAGUGGUUUCUUUGUUACAUAUGGUCGCCGUAAACUACGCAAGUUAUUUUUAAUUAUUAUCAGCUCAGGUCAUUCCGGUCUGUUAUCUCGCUGCUAUCUUGCAUUAUUUUCGACCGAUUGUCACGACCUACAUAUACACCAUUGUUCGCCUAAACCCUCAUAUUCACAGAAUGCCCCAUUGAUUGCCUUCUUCUUCUCAUUUUCACCGUUUCACUUAUGCUCUAUUUGUUUAAAUGAUGAUUUGUGUUCGAAUCCAGUGCUACGUGAGCAACCAUCCGUUUCAUGUCAAAAGUAUAAUAAUGUGUUCACUCUAACUGCGCUUUUACUUCAUUGGAAAGCUCGGAAGCUUCCUCUAAUAACUCUCAAUGGACUUGCAAUAUCUGUCCUAAUAAAGAUAAGUUCAGCCUUAUUCUCAAGGAAUUCCAGAAUAUUAAAUCUUGCCAAUUAAAAUUUGAUGAAUUGUUGAACUGCGAUAAGCACACUUAAUGUUAUGAUAUCUGAGCAAGGGAAAACCUUAGCUUCCCUCGGCAACUAAGUUAUUUUACUCAAUAAACAGUUCACUACAAUCACGAAUGUAGUUAAGAUAUAUGACCGACGUUUUAAUAUUCUUAAAACCCGCAUCGCAGCCACCGAGAAGACUUUGUCCGGGGAGCACCUGAAUCUUCAGAUCUCAGUUGUCUAAUAGAAUCUCAGAUGAAAAAAUACUCACAGUUGAUAUCUUUAAAAAACUUUUAUGUCCCGUUGUAUUUGUGGUAAACACAUUUAGAAUUGGAAAAAGUUCUGAAAAUAGACCACGAAAUUUGAAGAUAGUACUCUCUUCACGUGAUGUGGCCGAUUUCGUGUUAAAGUCUUACCUUCACCGUCAUAUUUUUUUUCUAGGUUUGCCGUCUGACAUCUCUAUUUCACGUGAUCGUACUUUCUCUGACCUUCAAUUGAUUCACGAGGUAUAUCAAAAACUGCGCACUAGAUAAAACCAACGACUCACAUGUCGAUCUAUUAUUUCUUUCUAAUACAAGAUCUAUGUUUUUACUGUUGUAUUGAUGAAAAGCGUGAAAGUUCUGGGUUUUAUUUCCACUCCUACACUUGAUAUUCACCUAAACAUUGAAUCAUCUUCUUGUAGGGCUCUCAAAGUACUAGGUUUUGUCAAGCAAAUAUUCUCUGAAAUUAAGCUUGAAUAUUAUUUUGACAUCUCUUUAUUAUUCCUUAGUUCGAUCUAUUAUUGAAUAUGGAUCCGUAUUAUGAGAUUCCCACAAAUCGUCAAGCUCCCUAUAUCUAAAACGCAUCCAGAGACGCUUUUUAUCAUUCGCUUCCUAUGUUCUAAAGAUUGGUCAUACCCCGCAUGACUAUUUUGCUGUCAUCAGCGUACUCAAAUUCACAUCACUGGUUAAUAGAAUAGCAGCUGCAAAUUUAUCAUUACUACAUAAACUCUUAGAUGAUUCAAUAGAUGACCCUACUCUUCUUUCUAGUAUUAACUUCAGAAUGCCACAAAGUUCCCUCCGUUUCCAUACUCUUUUCUCUGUGCCGAAUCGUCCCAAAAACUAUGGUCGCAACAACCCUAUUUAUCAUAUUAUGCGCAUGACUAAUAAACAACCAACCUUAUUACCAUAACUAUUUUGUAUAGUUUUAUUAUUAUUUUUCUUUUAAUUAAAAAUUAUACUUAUAUGUAAUAUGUAAUUAGGCUUUUCCAUAAUGUUUUAAAUAAAUAAAUAAAUAAACACAUAUUUCUUUUCAUCAGAUAUUCAAAAUUAUUCAUUAAAAUUAUAUUUAUAAGCUACCUUCACUCGACUAUCUUAUUCAUUUUUAUAUUUCGUUUGAAACGUAAUUCAAUGUUGGUUAAAUUCUCAUAUAUUUUUUCUUAAUAAAUAUAUAAAUGUAUAUUUUUAACGCCUUGAAAUAAUUGUCAGUACAUUUUUAUUAAAACGGAGCCCUUCCAAAUGAGGAGUAUCUGCUCAUCUUACGCAUACGCAUUUCCCUCGAGUUUCUCCUUCUUCCACUGAAUAGUAAAUUGAAUUUAAUAUUUUGAAAAUUAUACGAUAAUCAUAAAUUAUUUUCUGCAGCAAUUCCACGAAAAUUGAUUAUUAAAAAAAAAAACAAAUUGUUAUAUUCUUGCAUGUGACUACAUGCGUCAUCACUUUAUCUGUUUAUUGAACAGUAAAAAUGGGUGGCGUUUUAACAAUAAUCGUGCGAUAAAAUAUGAAUUUCAAUGAAUUUACAAAUUGUUUAUAUUUUUAUAACAGUGUAAUAAAGACUAUAAUGUUUUGUGCCGUAAAUUAAUUAUUUAACUAAUUUAUAUUUGAACUCGUUUUUAUUUUAAAUUUAGUUUUGUUUUUUUGCCAUUUUAUUUUUUUAUUUUUUACAGUUUAGUAUUUUUCAUAAUUUUUGUACUAAAACAUUUUAUACGUGCACAAUUUUUUAUAGUUCAAUUGCCUAAUUUAACGAACCAUUUCUAGUUUUUUCGGAGGAUUUUUAUAUUUGUAUAUCAAAUUCGGCUAAAAACAUUGCCGGUUUGAAGAAAUCGUUCUAUAUUUCAAAGUACCUUAAUGUAUGUUUAAGUCAUGAAAUACAAUAGUGCGUCUAUAUUGUAUUUACUAACUAGUGUGUUAAAUAUAUUUUACAUGUAAUUUAUUGUGUUUUUAUAAUAUUUAAAUGCAUUAUAGUAACUACAUAGUGCAACGUUUCGGUAUUUCAAGUGUAUUUUUCUUCGAGACAUAAACGUUUAAAUAAAACCAAUAAAGUACAUGAUCUUUAAAUUGGUCACUAUGUAAUUCUUAUUAUAUUUACAAUCACCUAAUAUUAAGUCUAAAAUUUCAAACAACACCGUGGUGUAUCGAAAUUGCCUGAACGUUGCGCCGCGUUCCCUCUUCUCGUAUUAAACUUACUAUAAUAAUUUUCACGCGUUUAGGACUCGAAAUUUUGCUUUGUGCCGUUCGAUGUAAUGAUAUCGACACGAAAACAACCAAACAAACAUCUUAUUAUUGGCACGUGUCUAACAAAGUCAAAAUAUGACACAGACAUCCGCAGAAUUUUGUCUAGGGGAGGAAAGCAAGUCCACAGAAUUUUGUAUUUAAGGGGUGGAAAAUUAAUUAUAAUAAUUACACAAUUUUAGUUUCAUUAUCAAUUUGUACAUAACGUAUUUGAUAUAUUUUCGAAAAGCCAAGGGGGCAAGUGCGUUCUUCCGAAUGCCUUUGAUCCACACACAAACGUCGUAUUAUUAACAUACAUUUUAACGUAUUCAUUUAUUGUUGGGUUUGGGAUUUCGAGUAAAUUUGGUAUUUUUUUUCAAUCACUAUACGAGUAUGGUUGUACCACACAGAAUGCGCAUAUAGAAUCGUAUAUCAAUAAUAUUUUCACGAUUUUUGUCCUUAUUUCAUAUACCAUAAAACAGUCUUCAGUGCGUUAAAAGUCUUAAAAGUAAUAACAUUGCAUUACUAUUACCUUUAUAACGUGUAAUUUCAUUAUACUUGCAUUAUAUCAAAUUUGUAUAAUAUUAUGUAAAUUAGUAAAUAUAGAUAAUUUACAUCUGGAACUAGAAAGUAAUCAAAAAGUCGAAUUGAAUUAUUGAAUUUCGUUACUAGCAUUUACUUUACUGCCCGAGACUACCAUUGAAUAAAAUAAGCGUUAUUUCAAACUAUUGAUUUUCAAUUAUAGUAACCCACAUUUUAGCACAAAUAAAAUCAAUAUAGUCGAUAUUAACGGACAUAUACCAAAAAAGAAAUUGAAAUCAAACGAAUCAAUUGAAUGUGUUUAACGUGGCGAAAUUUCGGUCCUGGAGGUCUGCGGCAGGCCCAGGUUUCGUCGAAAUUAAAUCCGUCCGUUGAUAUUUUUACAAAUUGAAAUUUCACGACUAUUAUUUGUUUUAUGCAAAUGAUACGAUGAAGCAGCUAUACAUAUAAGAGUAUAAGUAUUAUAUUAUUCCACCGCCUGCUUUGACGACAAUAACGCACUAAAACAACAUUGAUGUUAAUUCGCGUUUCACAAUGAUCUAAUGUUUUUCUCCCUGCGACCGAGACAAAUAGACGAUACAAUUUACAUAAAUUAUUUCUUAUUUUGUUGUAUAAUAUAUUAAGAUUUAAGAUUAUACUGUAACGGCCAAGGAUAUUCUCGCGUAUUAUAUUUUCGCUAAUUGAACAAUUCAUUUUAUUUUUGUAUUAAAAUAUUCAAAUAUUAUACAGGAUUUAUCAAAUUUCAUGUAAAAGCCAAAUUGAAAAAAAAAACUUACGUAAAAACCUUUAGGAAUCUUAUAUUUAUACUUAUUCAUACAGUACAAUUCUACUGUACUGUGUAGUGCUGUGAAGCCACACAGUCUUACCCUGUCACUACUCUUACUCUAUCAAAAAUUAAAAUUGGAAUAUCUUAAAAAUGAAGUUAACGGAAAUCGAAUAGUUCAACACACCAAAUAUAUUUAUACUAAAACUCUAAUCUAUUUAUAGAUUAUUUUCAUAAAGAUUACCGAUUGAAAAUCAAAAUGAUAGUCGUUUCAUCUACAAAAAUAAGGUUGACAAAAUAAGGAUAGUGAACAGUUUAAAAUGUAUAAUUCUGAAACGUUUUUAUUUAAUGAAACCAGGAGCGAUGCGAUAUUGUAUACGCCUGGCUUUAUACUUUAAAGUCAUAAUAUAAUAAACUAUAAUAUUGUAAAGAGCGAAAUGUGCUGUGGUCAAAAAAAGUUUGAUAAAUAUUGAUUUAUAGUAGUUUCUUCCAUUUUUAUGCGCUACGCUAAUUUCAAAAUAUUAUUAUUAUUUUUUUAUUUUGGAAGUUGUAUUUUAAUAUUCAGUUAUUUAUUUGUCUACAAAUAAUAUUUCUAUAUAAUACAUAAUAGAGGGGGGAGGAAUUCGACUUGGUAAUAACUGAGCUUUGCUGUCCACGGGUAUAUUUUUCUCAUCUUUUUGAUUGUCGAGCAUUAUAUUUUACACGACUUCUUGUUUACAUUCUCUUAUAUUGUAGGUGCUAAGGGAAUUUUAUUUUAACGGUCAUAAUGGGCCGUAAAAACCAAAUUACAUAAUAAUAACAAAUACUGCAUAUUUCUUUACCAUGAUGUAUAAACGCAUUAUUUCUAUAAUUGAACAAUACGGGUUUUUUUCGUGUGCUUAUCAUUUUUGUAUUAUUUAUGUUCAAUGCUUCCCAGAUUAACGGAGUAUAUUCGAAUAAAGAUCGAAUGAGAGAGGUGUAUAAAUAUUUGAAGGUGAAGUCGAUCAUUAAAUUCAGAACAGUUUCGUUUAAUCAUAUCGAAAAUAUAUAUUGCUUUAUUUUGAAUUAUAAGUUUUGAAUCAAAUAAUACACCUACAUUUUUAAUUGGUGAUGACUGUAGUAGACUAUUGUUAGAUAUACACUAAUUGAAUAUAAUUGGUAUUCAUUUUUUUGAGAAUGUAACCACUUGGAAUUUUUUAAUAUUUUAAGAGAAUAAUUUAUUAAUUUACAUUUACAAAAGGUAUUUACAAAUAAAUCUAAUUAGGUGAAUCUCUAUAAACUUUUUCGUUUUGAUUUUACCGAUACCAAUUAAGAGAUUUUUGGGAAUUCAAGAACUUUUCCACAUGUUUUGUUUAAUUUCUGAGAAAUUCAUAGUUUCACAUGGAUCAUAUCAAAAAUUGUAAGUGAAUAAAUACAAAUGCAUCAAAUACCAGCAAAGUGUGUCAUGACUGUUAAUUGAGUAUUAAGAACAAAUUCAAGUUCUGGUUUUUCUUCCACUCGGUGCAUCUAUAGUUUCUAGUUACAAUUUUUGGGUACGAGUCAUGUAAAAUUAUGCAUUUCUUUAAAAAAUCUCCUCGAAACCUAAAAUGUUUGCCAAGUUCCUUUUAUUUUGGAUUAAUUACAAAAUCACCGAAUACGAAAACGUAAUUUACAAAAAUAUUGGUAAAAUCAAAAUGAAGAAGUUUAUAGGAGUUUCUACAAAAACAGAUGUACAUACUCAGAAGAAGUCAUAGAAGUCAGUGAUAUCAAUUCUACUGGUCUUUAAUGUUCGGUUUACCAGUUAUGCUAUCAGUCUUGAUAUUUUUUGAUUAGCUCUCGUAUAUAUAUAUAUAUACACGUACUAUCCGAGAUAAUGAGGAAAAGUUUAAAAAAAAAAAAAUCACUGCAAGUAUACUUAAUAUUUGUACACCAUGAAGUAAAAAUAAGACUCUGAUUUUUCGAUAACGAAUACAGCAAUUUAGUAGUCUAUCGCUGCCAAACCCCGAUAACGAGAUAUCGUAGUUUUUUUUUUUGUAGAAUUUUUUUACUUGAGUUUUUAUCUUUGUAUUUUAUUUUUUAUGUUCGUAUUCUCUAUAGGUCUGUUAGAUAAUAUUGUCGGGGUUUCCUAUAGUAUUCUGACUGUGCAACUUAUUAGUAUGCUUGCAGUGUCAAAUGGCUAUACAAGAAACCCGGUAGGUUCACUUUGUAACAAACUAUAUGAAACGAGUUUCUUUUUCGUAAAAUCUGUUGUAAGUUUACAAUAUUAGUAUGACUCGAAAUUAAAAAAAAAACUGUACGUACCGAAUUCGCUUUCGAGACAUAAUUAUAAUUACGGUUGAGUCACCUUUGGGUAGUAUGUCUGCUCUAGCCACUCAUUUUUAUUUUUUUGUUAAACAGUAUAAUAUAUUGUAAUUUAAUAAGCCAUGUUAUUAAUGUUUUGUUAAUAAAUUUACUGGGUGAUAAAAACUAUUGCAAAACAAUUGACAACUUAGAUAGCCAUACAACGGGAAUAUUUUAAAAUCUUAAUACAAUUUUCUCCUUCAAUAAUGUUCUAAAGACUAUUAAAUACAAACUAAGUUUCGUUAACUUAUAACAUAUAUGAAAUUAUGUUACCAUCAUAAAUAGAUUAAAUCAAAUAUUCAUAUAAAAAAAAAAUAUGUUGUUGACUCCAAUCUACGAAUACGAUAAUAAAACUGCAACACCUUCAUAAAUACAUACUCUUAUAUUCAUAUUGCAUAUUAAUAGGUAAAACUAAUCUAUUAUAAUAAUAAAGACAUAAAUACCACGACCGAUGAAUUACUCUUAAAUUCAUAAUACAUACUUGAGUAUUACGUGGUUACUGUCUACCUAUCUGUUAAUAUAUAAUAGACAUUUUGAAUAAAAGUUUAUAACUAAUAGGUAGUUUUUUGUAAUUUUUUGUUUAAGUUAGGUAUUUAUUUUGUAAAUUAAUAAAAUAUUAAUGUUAAAUAAUACAGUAAUCAUUCAGAUUUAGAUAUACUCUAUAUGAGUUCUAUAAAUGUUACAACUCCACAGGUUUUAAAUACAUGCAUUGGUAAUAUUUCAUAUUUGCAUUUACUUUCAUUAGGUAUUUUAAUUUUUAAUACCUUAUCAAUGAAUUAUUUUUUUAAUCAACUGAAUUAAUUGAACUUAAUUUAAUUUAAUGGUAUAUUUUAAUUUAAUUGAAAAAAAAAAUAUUUAACUUAAUUGAGUUAAAAAUUAUCAUUAACUUGCCUUGAUAAUUUUACUAUAAUUUUAGAUUAAUCUUUAGGUUUGGUUAAUCUUAAUUGGUUGGUGCUUACCUACUUAUAUCGGUACGUGAUUAAUUCAAUGAUUUUAGAGAUAAUGUUAUACGAAUAUAAUCUGUAAUAUGCUGGACAUUUCAGAGUGAAAAACUAAAAAGUUAAAUUAAUAUUAACCAAGGUAGAAAUCUGUUAUUUGUUUAACUUGAUAAAAUUUGUUUUUUUUAAAGUAUGUCACGUUAAGUAAAUUUAAAAUAAUCUUUCUAUUUUACAACAAAAAUAUAUACAAAUAUAAAAUAUAAAAUAAAAAUGCUUCAUAUAUAAUAAGGUAAUCUAACACAUUUCAUAUUCAUUAGCUUUCCAAACCUUGAAUAUUACUUUUUCUAACUGUAUUCUAUUGAAAAUAUUAUAUACUUUUUAUAGGACGUAUAGGUAAUAAAAAAAAAUAAAAAAAAAAUUAUUACUAUAAGUAUAAUAUAGAAUAAAAAUGGCUGAUAAAAUGAAAUUUGAUAUUGCUUGAGCAUAUCUCUAAAGAAACUCAGUUUCAUUAUUCGUAAUACACAUAAUUUAUACAUAUAAAAAACCGUAAUAAAAUAUUAUGUUACAUAGAAAGCAAAAAAAAAAAAAAGGUUUUUAAAAUUCAAUAACUUGGCAGCCACGAUAGAAUCAAAUGGACUUUUUUUUACGUAUAAUACUUACCUACCUUAUAUAAAAAAAAACUUAGAAUAUCUUAGAAUAUAUAUGCGGCACUUUUCGCAGAUAUCAUUAACAUUCAAAAUAAUUAAUGGCCAUAUUUAUUGAAUUACAAAUUACCGUUAAAUAUCGAAUUUGAUUUUUUAAUACAUUGAUUUUACUGUGUGCGAUUAAAAAGUAAUAAUUGUCUGUCUGUUUACAAAUCGUUUACCAGAAAUCUUGCUCCGAUUAAAAGAAAGCUUUUUUUUAUGGAAUUUCGGAUCUAGUUCUCUGAUUUUUCUCUUAGUUCCCGGAUUUUUUCCCUGAAAUUUUUUUAAUAAUUAGGAUAAACUGGGGAAAAACCUAGGAAAAAUUAGAAAAAUUACGGAAAAAACAGUUUCAUUAUUUUGUUUUUGUUGUGAUUCGAUUAAAAAUAAUGGUACACGUAUGACAUUUUCACAAAAUACUUAAAUUAUCUUUUUCUAGAUAACAAUAAUAAUAAUAAUAAUAAAAUAAAAAAAGGAAUAAUAUAAUUUUAAUAAGCGAGUCAAUUUAUACACCAAUUACUGCAAUUUGAAAUUUCGUUGAAAAGCACUUACAUUGAACGUAUGAAAUUUGUCGUAAUUUUUAGAAUUAUGAUCCAUCGAUGACAUCGACUUUCGAUUCAAUAUUGUACUGUCAUAUGUUUAAUUUUUUUAAAUUGGCACCCUUUAAAAAAAAUGUUCCAUUGGUGUUUGGUAUAUCUAUACCAGGUCGACACUGGUUAUGUCAAAUAUUUAAAAAUAAUUAAGGCCUGGAACGAAAAUCUUUACAUUCCGUAGAGGAGACAUUUGAAACUCCAUGUGAAUGAAAUCACGGACAACAACCAGUGUUUGGAUUAGAUAAAUAAAGGAAUUAUGUUGAUAAAGGUACAAUAUAAUUGAUGUAAAUUCAUCUAGAUUAUCUAGUUUAAAAAAUUCAAAUUUUCCUAGGUAAAGUUAAAAGAUAAAUGACAAUUUAUCUAAAUGAAAAAAAGUCCAAAGUUGAUAGGAUAAAAUUAUAGAUUUUCUAAAUUCAAUUAUGAAAAAUUAAAAAGUUAAUUAAAUCUUCUUUAAUUUAAGCUCGUAGAGUUUUAUCCAAUGUCAAUUUAGUUAAAUUUAAUUCAGUCUAGACUAAUAGGUAUCGUAGUAGGUAAUAGAUUAAAGACUUAUGGAAGAAUAAAAUAUAUGGUUUACGAGUACAUAAAUUUUGUUAGUAUUACCUUACAAUUUUUUAUAUUAUAAUAAAAUUAUACGUAACAUAACCAGUAACAUAGCUAGAGGGAGGGGGGGCGGUAUUUGAACCUCUUCCUCAUUGCUUCUUUUUAGUUACAGGUUAGAAUAAGAUAGUUACAAUCCUAAAUUCCCCUAGACUUCUCAACCCCCCCCCCCGAAUAUUUUAUUUACAUGAAAUUUAUACAGAAUAUUUGUAAUACGUUAUUAAUUACAUAUUUUUUAUAUUCAUUUAAACUGUAUAUUUAUACAUGAUGAUAAUUAAUUAAUGAAUCAGUUAAUUAAUAAAAUAAAUUAAAACGAUCAAAAUUAUCCAUUUGUUUUGUUAAUAGUUAUCUAAUUGAAAAAAGUAUACAUUUUUGUAUUAAAUAUGAAUUAAAUAAUGCUGAAAAUGCGACAUUUCAAAAUUUUUGUCACCUGUUUCUUCUAGGAGUUAUAAUUUGUACUAUACAAUCGCUUAACGAGAGCAUAUGCAGGCAACAUUGAAUUUUAUUUCUUAAUCCUCAUUUUUAAUAAUGAGAAAAUGGAAAAUGGAAAAUUAAUUUAAUAAACAUAAUUCAUUUUUUUUUACCAUCUAAAAAGGAAAGAGCUUUUCCCCUAGAUAUUUAUACUUGUAAUAAUAAUUUCUGUUUUACUAUUAUAGAACAAGUCGAUUUUUGGAGUUUUUUUUAUGUUUUUCUCCAAAACGAAUUUCAUAAAAUUCAUUAUCACUACUAACGAUUUCACUACCAGAAUUAUUAAUAUCACUAUAAUCGGUAAAAUGUACUGAAUCGCAUUCUAAAAUAAAUAAUUUUAAGAAUCUUAGUGGCAUUGACCAUGUUCAAAUUAAUUUAUAAUAAUACAUUAAUUAAUUAAAUAAUUAAAAAAAGAUUAAAUUGUUUUUAUCGUAUGGUGUUUAAAAAAUUGUUGAAUUUUAAUUUAUCAUUUGGUUCAAAACCUGUUUCGAAAAGUUAAAGAAUUCAUAGCUACGACUGACAGUGAAUUUAUCCGUUACAUGUCCUAUUAGCACUGAGAUCCAGCGAUAAAAAUCACUGUUAACUGAGUUUUCUUUCCAUGAAUAUAUUCGAUAUUUUCAUUGGUUAAAUACAGGAAUUUUGUUCACGACCAAAAUACGUUGUAAUGCCAUUAUAUCUAGUUAUAUUUUAGUCGUGGGUUUAAUAAAAUAUUUAAAAUAAACUCGAAUGGAAAUGUUUUUUUAAUUAUUAUUUAUCUAAAAAUCAUACGAAUUUUUUAGAUUUUAAAAUAAAGGCAAAGACAAUAUUGUCAUACACUUAAAAUUAACAAUUUCCUCAGAAUAAUGAAAAUAUUUCACAAUUAUUUCGUAUUAUUUUAUUUUUUGUUUUGUGAGUAAACAUAUCGUUGUAAAAAAAUAAGUCGAGCUUUGAGAAUCUCUUAAAUCAACAACAGCAGAUGUAAGUAAUGAUUACAAAAUCUCAUUGUGAUUUUUGUUUAUUUUUUUCUGAUUUCAAUUAAAAAUCCAAGGGAGAGAUAAUUAAAAUUCUGUAUUUUUCGUUUGUGGUGUAUCGAAAUAUACUUAAAUUUACUCGUGAAAAACAAUUUUCCAGCUUUUGUGCGGUCAAAUAAUGGCGGUGUUAUUGAAUGACACGUUUUUAUAGUAAAACGACCGUAGCGCGUGUAGGUAUUCAGAAGUAUAGUUUCUAUAAUUUGUGUUAUUACACAGCUCUGUUAAUGACGUUACGACGAAAAAACUAAGUACGAACUAAUUGAAUUGUAUCGAAACACUAGAAGCUCAUUUUAUUUACGGGUUUUCGGGCAGAUAAUUCGACACAAAACAUGUUACUCAAUAUAAACAUUUAUUUCCAUAUACAGAGUGAAUUUUUUUCUAUUGUUUACGAUCCAGCGAUUAACUGCGAAGAUUUUUUGUGAGUAAAUAAAUCAAGUUUGGUUUUUUUUUCUAGUUAUUUUGGGAACCAUGUUUAAUGAUCUUACGUAGAGCAAAUAUUUUCAUCUUUGAUGCAGUCCAAUCUAUUUCGUGAUUCUUUUUAUUUUAAUUGCGACCAUUGAAGAAAAUCCCGAUUUUUAUUUACAUAGGUUAAUAUUUGGAGAAAAGACUACCCCAAAGCUUGGUUACCUGACCUAGCCUAACCAUACACAACCUAAUGGACACCCAUGUUUUUAUCCAUAUGGAUGUCUGGACUUCGGGGUCCAUGAACCACCGGUUUAUAAUCCCCACCGUAACACUAAUAUCGUAUUCACCAUUUAUGUAUAAGUUAUGACAGUUUAAAGUUUAAACCAGUAACAUGUAUACACAUUACAUAAUAUUAUACGGAAUGUAUAUACCAAUAUUUUCUAUUUGAAUUUGUGUUCAAAAUGCUUGUAGUUCCUAUAUGAAAAUCAAUAGUAUAUAUUCAUUUAAGGUGUAAAGAGUAAGCGAAAUACAUUAAAAAUAGAUUUAAUAUAAAGCCUAAACGAUUCCAUAAAGAUUGAAAAAAAAAAACGGAAAUCAGAUUAAUUUCAGAUCUUCCGAGAAAAUCGCUGGCUUGUGAUAAAUAUAUCAUCUUGAACACGGGUUAAUAAUUAUUAUUUAUAUAGAUCUAUCUUGCCGAGCGACCCAUUAUAUACUGUACAGAAGCCACGUCGCGCGAUUAUUGUCACCGCGAACACUUUCUGUUUAGCGAAACCGUAAAUUUAGUGCCCAAGUUUACCACAACCGUUUCGCACGCUAUCGUCGUUGCCAAAUUCAAUUUUCCCUUGACGCUAUACUGAAUUCUACAUCAGGUGACAGUAAUUCAUAUAGUCACCAAUUUACCAGUGAUAUUUUAACGAAAAAUAUAAAACAUUGAGUAACAAUAUAUUUUAUUAGACACACCUAUUUACGGAAAUUUGUUGGUGUAAUUUGAAAAAAAAAAAAAAAUAAAUUCGAUAAUGCCGGCAUAGAAAAAAAAUCCGUUUAUCGUGUAAUAUACAUAUAUUUAGAGAAAGAUGUGUCUGCACGAUCGUUUUCGAACUUAAAAACGCGUGAAAAAUGCGUGUGUAUCGAAAAUCGUUUUUCCUCGAAAGAUUGAGUAUAUAAAACAGCUUACGAUGAACGAUUUUUAAAAUACAUAUUUAUAUUCCGUUUAUAAAUUUAUACAUUUAAUUUAUUGCCCUGUUUAUAAUUUUUUUAUGCCACAUUAUAUUAAAUAAUAUCAAUCUAUUAUUAUCUAUCAAUAAUCAGUCUAAUUCGAGUAAAUUGAAAAUCAAUAUGUCAUUUCCGGUGUAACAGACUAGUUUUACCUGGAGAUAUCGGAUAUUUAUAGGGUGGGAUUCCUUCCCAGUAUAAAUAUCCCAUACAAUUUUUACUUAUCGCUGUAAAAUUAUUCUGGGUUAUUUGUACAUUCUUAAAUAUGUGUAGGAGGUAGAUAGAGGGUUAAAAAUAUCCUAUACUUAAUUUAUCCAUGGUAAUAUCAAAUGAUAUAAUUACUCUCCUGGAAAAAUUUCAGGCGUAAAUAUAUUCUAGUCUAUUAUUACCGCGAGGUGUGAGGGAGGAGAUUAAAUUAAAAUAAACAGUAUCGAAAUCCUAUGACAUCCGAUAAUGUUGAUUGUUGUCUUUUAUUUUUUUCAAUGAAUAAAUGUAACUUCUAAAAUCAUUUAGAAAAGAGUAUGUAUCGAAUAUAUUUUCUGUUUGCGUAAAAAUAUUGUUUUUUAACCAAAUGUUACCAUUACAAUCACGAAGCACUUUUGUGUUUACGAAAAAAUAACGAUAAUUUAUUUAACUUCAAAAAUUGCCUUUAUUCUUCUUAAAUAAAUGUACUCUGUUGAUUCGUUUAAAAUUGAAGUAUUUUAUAUUUUUAUCAUUAUAUUGAUUUUUAAUGUAGUUUUCCCCCCUAAAAAUUAAUCGAACUAUAAUCACCAAUGGACGAACACAAUGUUAAUAUCUGGAUAUUUUUGCUACCCAUCGUUUUAUAAUAUAGAAUAUUAAGAUUUUAAAAACCGAUUACAAAUUAUUAACCAAACUGUAAUAUUAUACCAUAGGUAAUUAUUUUAAUGUACACUAUUAACGGUGUUAACUGAUUAAAUACAAUUAUUAUUCUUAAAUAAUGUUAUCAGUUAUCCCGAGUGAAAAUUAAUUAACUAAUAUUGUAAUAAUACAUAAACUUACCUUUAACAGACCGACGCACAAAUAGUGUAUAUUAUGUUAGGUUUCUAGAAGAUUGUACUGGCACAGUGUUUGAUAAGUUUAUUUGAUUUCCGCUGUAGUUCUGGCCGCGUGUAGUGUCAAAAAGUUCCUAAUCUUGUAAUGCCGACUAUUGCGUUUAUCUGUAAAAAGAAAAAAUAAUGUAUUAUUAUAAUAUAAUAUGGUUAUAUAAUCAUCUAAUAAAUAGUAUUUAAGCAUUUGAUAUUUGAUCUAUUUCACACAUACUAUUAUUAGGUAUACUCUUAAUUUUUUUUUUUAAAGAAAUAAAUUAAUAUGCAAUGCAUAGAACUGUGAAAUGGUAGCAAAGGCAUUAUUCUUUUUAGCAUACGGAUUUUUGUGUACAAACUUCGAAUUAUGUGAUAGCGAAAGAAAUGUUGAAACGUUUAUUUUAAAUUUUUCGAUUAUUCCCCGCAUUUUUCAUUGUAUGGUAUUUUUGGAACAAUCAAUUUUGAUGCAUAUCAUUCGCAAUUCUAUUAAUUUCAUGAAAAUAUACGAGAGCGCAUGUAACGCUACUGGUUGUUUCGAAGGGUCAGAAAGCAGACGACGGUAUUACAGCCGUUAUCUGGUUAUCAUCGCGAGUGGGUUAAAUAUUUAUUCGUACCGAGAGAAGUUUUAGACAUGGAAUUACAAAAAAAAAAAAAAAAAAAAAAAUAAUCGCAUGUUUCCUGUUAGCAUUUAUGUAAUACGCAGGUUCCUACACGUUUUACUUCAUACAUAUACCUAAGCCGAAUUCACGUGCUUUUUUUUUUUUACUGAACCAUUUGUUUUAUGUAACUGUAUUUUUUUUUACAUUUAUAUUUCCUAGAACAAAAUAUUAUUUAUUUACGUGAAAAGCGAUACGAGAGUGGUGAGUUUUAAAUCGCUUUGGGUUCAGCUCAUAUAAUCGGCUAUUCGAAUUUGCGCGGUUUUUUUUUUUUAAUCCUUGUAUACUUAUGAGAAAAUUUCUGUGCGACCGUUUUUGAUAAUGAAAACGGAAUGAAACAUUGUCGUUUUGUCUCGGAGUACGAUUACGAAUUUACGUAAACCUACUAAAACACUACUUUACUCUGGAUUGUUAAAACAUUAAAGAUCGAUAGCAUUCAUCUCUUAUAUACAUUAUAUUUACAGACAUAUGGUUGACUCACGUUUUAUACGUUAAUUAUUGUUAUUUUUUUAAUUUAAAAUUGAAUUCAAAUAGUUUUUAGUUUCUAUCCUUCACCCCUCCCCUCUGAAAAUGUUGUUAAUAUUCCUCAACCAACGCUUUAAAUAUUGGUUGAUGUGACCUCCAUCCGUUCGAUGAUAUUAUUAAAGCGAGUACCGUACUUACCUUUAUCAAAUAUAACCACUAGCUGAUUGUAACGAAACUGAUUGUAAAUGAUUUGUAAUCAUUUUCGCCACCGGCUGACGUUAAUAGUUACAUCAUUGAUUUAAUGCUGAUAACUGCUAUUGGUUCUACGGUCUGUUUCACCAUUGUUUAGCGAAACAAGCACACGAAGAUGCAUCGUAAGUACUUAUAUUUAUACAGGUUUAGAAAAUACAAAAAAAAUCUGAUACCGGGGACGCAUGUGACCACUGUUAUAGAGUAGUAGUGAAGAAGGUGUUAUACACAAAGUUUUUAAAUUUAUACCUAUUACUAAUAAUAAACAAUUAAUAAUGAAAAACGAUUAGUUUUGUUGUUUUUUAAAUGCAAUUGAAUAUGGUAAUAUUAUCCAUAGGCUAAUCCAGCGUACUUAACACCCAUAUACUUUUACACUCAUAUAGCUUACAAUAUUCGGAAGGUCUUUUAUAAUUUUUUAAAGGAAACUACGGAUGUAUUUUUUAUAUAUUUUUUUUUUUAAUAAAUAUAUAACUUGAUAAAUGACGCAAUCCUAUAUAAUGUAUGUAAGCAGUGUAUAUAGGUAAACGGGACUCCGCCCAAAAUCAUUUUUCGCAAAUGCGACGAUUUAUCAUUGCUUUAGAAUUUUCAUAUUAUAUUAUUAAUAAUUUCCCGCCUCUGUAAUCCAUCCAAAACAGUGCAGUAAAAAUUCGUCUUCCUCUCCUCGCCACCCCCCCCCCACUCCCCAACGAUAGCCAAGAGCAUUAUGUUUACUUUAUAUUUUUUCUAAAUUAAUCUUACCAAGUUGAUAUUGAAUUUUAUUUUAUAAAUUCUAGAAAUAAAAUAUGCAAAAACGCCUAUAAAAAAUGCCUGAACAAUUUUAAAUUUUAAUGUUAUCUCCCAACAAUUUAUUUAAAUUUUUAAAUUUCAAAAAUGGUUAUUCGGUUUUAGAGGUCGGGGUCAAGAAGUUACAUUCGUUUUAUGAUCUAUUCAAACUUGAUACGAAUAGAGGUACAUUAUUAAUGGAUACUAUACCUUCCGGCUUACCGCACACAAGUUAUUCGCCAAACACACUGACCUCGUGGGUUGGACGUUUUUGCAGUAAAUUCGAUAUAUUCUCGUUAUUUAUUCAUCGGGUUAUUACCUCGUUCUAUGUAUAGUCGGUAUAUACUUAAAACCCUUCGAUUCAUGAUAUAAUAAUAAUAAUGAUAACAAUAUUGUCAUAACCGAAAACUUUGUGCUUAAUAUUAUAGGACCGUGUUGAAAUUAGGUUUAAAUUCCUAUCAUACUUGCGUAUAUAUAUGUUAUUUUACGAUUUUUAUCAAACACAUUAUUUUAACCAGUCAAUUAUGCAGCAGUUUAAACAUUUUUUUUAAAUGUUUUGUAUAAUUACGUAUUCUAUUGUAAUAUUUGAAACUAUUAACUUUUUAAAUUUUCCUUCAAAUUUGAAAUCUGAUUUUUUUUAAAAAAAAAACGAAGAAGAUUACUCAGCAGUGUUGCAAUAAUAAAACUAAUAAACUUGAUAUUUUCAUCGAUGUUGUAGAUGUGUACAGUAUAAACCGAAUUCAAUGAUGGGAAAAUAGCCGUAUAAAUGAAAAUAUUAUGGUUUUCACUCGUCGAUUUAACUUUUAUUUUCUUUAGCUCUCGUGAAUAUUUUUAUUUUUUGUACUUUUACCGCUCAGUCGAAUUAAAUUAAUUUCCUAUAGCUAUAAAAGCUACCUACAUUUAUUGGUCGAGUCGAGUGUUACAGCAGGUCUCCCACGAGUAUUGAGUAAAUUUUUAAACAGAUUGGGUUCGGCUGUUAUUCUGGAUUUUACAUUGUUCCGAAAACGUUAAAAACAUUCGCGUCGAGUUACGUAUUUCUGUCUUAUUAUAUUUUGAAAAGGAACGAUUUAUUCAAGUCUGGAUUAAGGGGAAGGGGGAUGGGGGCUACGUCUCUUGGUUCUAUAAACGUAAAGGGCUAAUAAUUUUAUCAUUAUAUUAUGUAUAUAAAAUGUUUGUUAAAUAUGUUUGUUGUAAGAAAAUGUACAUACAAUUGAUAUACGCAGAUCUCAUUUUCAAAUAUUUCAAGUUGCAUCCCGGGGCUCACUGAACACUUAAUCCUAUCUUGGAUUUAUUUCGUAGCGAUAUCGAUAACUUAUUUUUACGUGAUGUUAUUAUAAUUUUAAUCAUAAUUCGGAUUUCGCUACAUUUUCGAAUAAAAUAUAAUUGCGUAGGCACAACCGGUGCUAUUUCUAGCGUUUACGAGUUGUUAUGAAACGAGUUCAUGAGACAUGCUUCUACAAAAUUAAAAAGGCCUUUAAAAAUCAUCAUAGAGUUAAAACAUUUAUUGUAAAGAUUAUUUUUGAACGAUGAAUUCAUUGUUUCAUAAUAUUUUCACAACUAUUCCAAUCACUAUCGGAUGUAUGAAAUGAUCGAUUUUUAAUUUUACUCGGAAUAAACAAAACAGUUAUUUGUACUUUUAAAAUAAUAGGAUUAACUGCGUGCUAUAUAAUUUCAAUAGGGACAGCUAUAAUGUUAGUCAGAUUUAAUAAAAAAAUGUAGUUAUGAUAACUAUAAUAAUAAUUGUGAUUAAGGGAAUUUAAUACGAAAAUGGAAAAUUCCUUUACCGACCAAUGUUAUAUAAUAUAGGUUUAUAGUAUUUUAUAAUACGUUUAUAUUAUUAAUAAUUAAUAAUAUUUGUAUAGUUAUUUCAACUAUUGAUAUUAAAAAAUUAUUUUAACUAUAUUUUUUAAAAAAUUUUAAAAUUUUAAAAAUGCAGUAACUAUAAAUUAUUUUAAAUAUUACCAUAACAACCAACUAUUUUUAUACUGUCAUAAUAAUUAUAUCAUUUUAGUUGUUUUACAUACAAAAUAGUUAUAUUCACUAUAUUUUGUUCAACUAUAAUUUUGUAGAAUUUUUUUCCCGUGUAAUAUGUACAUUUUUGUUUGAAAAAAAAAGCCAUUAUGAGGUAGUCUCAAGAGUAAAAUAUUUCGUAUUAUAUGUAAAUUUGUAAUAUUUUAGGCGUUUCAAAACUGUAAAUCACUUUUAAAUGCUUUUUUUGAUGAUUUCCUACAAUCGAUACGUUUUAAUUUGAAAUUUAUUUUUGAAGAUCAAAAUUAUAUAUAGAAAAACUCUUGGUUUUAGAUACCACCAUCGCGACGCGUCGUUUCGAUUAUUCUGUCAAUUUCAGGUGUACUUUGUCUUACGUUAUAGUUUAUAAUAAUACGAUCGUGUUACAAUAUAUUACGGUUCGCCAAGCAUCCUAAAAUCCGGAGAUUCUUAGUAACUAUAGGUAUAUCUAAUAAAUACGCGGUCACUUGCACAGGACACUUGCCGAGAUUUGUAAAAUUCGUAGGUAUAGGGUAAGUAAAUAGUGUAUAGAGUAUUUUCGCAGCUAUAUCUGCUAGGCCGAAUGAUUUGAUAAGCAUUAGUCUCUAUACAAAAUAAAAUAUAAUUUGCAUUUUGUGAAGACAAUUUUUCUACAUAAUAUACAGUAACUAACGAGACACUGUUAUAUUAUCGAUUGACUACAUUUGGCUAGUUAAUAAAUUAUAUAUUAAUUGGGAAAAUUAAUACGCUAAACGUUAAUUGUUUUUUUAAGUAACGAAGGUGAUUUCAAAGUUAAUUUUAAAAUUUAAUUAAUAUUAUAACUUAUUAACUUAUGAAGUCAUUAAUAUAUAUAUAUAUAUUUUUUUUUCUUUGAAAAAUUUGAUUUGCUAUAGUGAAUAUUAUUAAUCCAAAAAUGUGUCUUUUUUUUGAAAAUCAGGACGACCAAUAUUAGACGUUUUACUAUGGGAAUUAAUAAAAUAAUACUUAAUUUAAAGUUGUAGGGAGUCCAUUAACAAUACUCAAAAAACUAUUUUUUGUACGGUGCUUCUUAUUCUAAAAGUUUAUUUAAAUAUAGACUGUACACUUGACACUUUGUUAAAAUAAAAAUAACACAUGUUACUAUACAUUUUUUAUUAACUUUUAUAAAAACUAAAUUACUUUUAAGUUUUUAAGCGAGUAUUUUAAAAAAUAUUGUGGAUUAAAUAUGGUCACAUAAAUUAUAAAUAGAUUUAAUAUUACUUUUUAUGAACGAAAAAGAGCUUUUAAAAUAUUUAAUUUAACUAAUAACUUUUGUUCAUAUUACUCAGUUUUAUCUAUUAGUAGAUAUAAACAACAAAUUUUGUUCAAUGCAAAAAAAGCAAGAAUUUUACAAGAGAAAAAAGUUUUAUUUUUGCUUAUUUAGUGAAUUAUAAUUUUCACCGGAAAACUCAGUUUGAACAUAAAUGGUGGUCCAAAACGUUUUAAUUAAUGAUGAGUCCAGUGGUGAUUUAAUAUCUACCAUUCUUCCCCUUUGGGCUUUUUUUUUGUUUUGUCUGUCAUUUACAGGUACCUAUUUUUGACUUUCUGUUCGUUUGACUCGGCAAAGGCAAACUUGAAAUUAAAAUAUGUUUACUCUAUAUAACGCACAAAAAUUUACAUGUUAUAUACGAGAUAAUGUUCAAAUUCAAUAUCCCCCCUUUGCCCGUUUUACUAGGUUAAAAUCUUAAAUAAACCCCCGAAAAAUAUAAACCUCCGGUAAAUCUUUACCUACUAGAUCAUUAUUUUAUAUUCUGAGUGGAGCGAGGAAUAUAAUGGUUUUACAAAGAUAUUUAGGUUUUUUUACAUUGUUUGUCCUGUUAUCAAGUUUUCUACCAAAAAUUUUCCUCUGAUUUUCAAUUUUAGCAUUUUUUCUGAAAAGGAAUUUGACUGGGGAGGUACCUUAUAAAGGUUAUUUUUUGAUUUUUCUAUGAGUUUUCCUGUAAAUAGAAAAAACUGGAGAAAAAUGUACGAACAACGAAAAAAAUCAUAAAUAUUUCGGCCUUUCAAAACAAUUUGUAACCGAACUCUACUCAAAAUCAUUCUUCGUUAGCAUUGAUUCAUUAUUGUGUACAGAUAUACAUUAAAUUUCUCCUCUACUUUUUCAUUUUCUCUCCUACAAUAGUGGUCCACCCAUUGUGCGAAGUAUGUUUGUUUUACUAAAUUUUAAAACACAAAAUACAUGUACGGAACUACACUCGAAUACAAGUUGAGGUACACUGUACAAACAAAAUUAUUUAUCGAUGUGAAAAGUGUACUUGAAUUCGUCAAGGCAAAAUAAGAACAUCACUGAGUGUAGUCAGCUAUUAUUAUAAUAGGUUUUUGGCUUUUAGAUAUCUCCAAGUCACUCGCGGUGUUAUAAAAAAUGAAAAAUAAAAUAAAAAAUAAAUUCUAGUAGUGUUUUACUGAAAACAAAAAUUAGCAAUGGUUAAUCAUUGCGUACAGAUAUAUAUAUAUAUAUUAAAUUUUCCCUCUUCUACCUUCUCAACUUCUCACCUAUAAUAGUAGCUCACCGAUGUUUGAAGUAUGUCCAUCUUUUUUUUUCUAUCUGUUCAAAACUUUUCACCAAAAAACUUAACCCAAUUGCCUUCCCUAGGGGUGGAUUCUAAUAGCACUCUAAUUGUUGCAUCGACGGUGAGGUCAUCUUUUAAUUUUUCUUGCAAGUUUCUCAGCUCAUAAUUGUAACGUAUCCAAUGUUAUUUUAAAAUUGUAUAAUCACGGCAUAAUCUAUGAUUGGUGAUUAAAGAAUCAGCCUGUAUAGCAAAAACGGUUUGAGUGUACAAUUUUCGGUGCAGCGCACCACUCAUACAUUUUGGGAGGUGGUUUGAUGAAGAUUAACUAAGAGCAAUAUAUAAUUUUAAUUUUAAAAAUUAUCAAUAACAUCAAUGAUUAUCGUGGGCUAUUAUCAAGAUACACCAUGUAAAAUGUUUGGUUUUUUAUGAUUUUUUUAUGGUUGGUUGUCUACAUGUGUCUUUGUGUCCAUGCGAAUUACUAUUUCAAAUUGCCUCUGCUGUAUAAUUAUACAAAACGAUUUGGUGUUAUAUUUUAUUAGAACGUAGUCAGCGUUUGUAGUAACUUUUUGGUAUUUGAUUAGAUUAAAAACUUAAAUACGAUGUUUUUGAUACCUAAUUUAUUCUAGUUUAAACAUUACCAAACGCUGUUAUAACAAAAUAUAAUAUUACAUUAUCGUUGGCGAUAAUUUGCGCUGCGAAAUUAUAAUUUGUAACUUUGCAAUAUUAUUAUAAACUGUAAUAAUAAUUAUAAACAUAUAAUAUUUAAAUUAUACAAAGUUUAAAUAUAUUAAUAAAUAUCCGGUCCCAUAGUAUAAUAAUCGCUGUAAAUCGCUCUGAGCGUUGUAUAAAAUAAAAUGGUUCAAAGUGAGUACCUAUUUGGGGGGAGGAGAGUGUAUAGGUACUCUUCACUUUGCAGGCUUUUUGAAUUUAUUUUUUCUUCCACACCCACAAUAAGUGUUGUUGUCUGUAAAUACGCGAAACUUAACUUUAGCGGGAGACUUCUCGUGUGGACGUGGAUGAUAAUUACGUGUUUCUCUUGUGUCACACACACACACAAGCCGGAUUGUGUAAAUAGAUAGGUAGGUACCUUAUAGGUAGGUAUAUUAUUAACGCGCGGGAUUUCGUUUUUUUCUCCCGGAUUUAAAAUUUUUUUUUUAUCCCUUUUGCUCGCUUUGAGAACCUAAGCUGCAGUAUUAUCCUUGCGCAUACAUAGUACAAUGCAACAGGAUCCGUCCGAUAUAAUAAUAAUAAUAAUAAUAAUAAUAGUAAUAUAUAGACGACGUCACGUUGCCGGGCUGUCGGCUGUUAUAAUAAUAUUAUUAUACAUAGUAUACAUAUAGACAUAAUACUAUACCGUGGACAAGGUCGAAAUAAUAUUAUAAUAUAGUCGGCUCCCUGUAAUUACGUUCACAUUCACUGGUGCGCCGCGGCCGACUACGGUUGACCUUUUAUUAAAAUCGAAAAUAUUGGCAUUUCAUCCUUCAAAAUGUCAAAAAAAAAUAGUGAAAAUGGCCGGUAAUAUAAGUGAUGUAGUUAGGUAUAGCCGGAUUUAUGGGUUUUGUGCCAUGCGAUCCUAACGUAUAAAAUAUACCUACUCGUUUUAUUACCUAUAUAUUUAUUAUAAAACUAUAUUUCGGGUCGUAUAUACAGAGUGAUCAAAGUCGAGGAAAUUACGAGUUAAAAAUUUAAAAAUCAAUAGUUAACCGCAACUUCGCUUAUAUUAUUAAUUUACGUUAAUUUCAAGAAAAAAAAAAAGUUUAUUUUGAAUUUCAUCACAUUAUUAGUAAAUCUUAAUAUUUUUUUAAUUUUAACACAAUAUUAAUUAUUUACAACAAUCCAUACACUAUUUGAUUACAGUGUACCACCGAGAACCUAAUAUUUCUUUUUUUACUUAAUAAUGUGUGCGCAUGUAGUUCAGAGUUCAAAAUAAAUACACCGAUCAAUUUUAUUUUAAGAAAACCACACACUCUAGGUUAUUUACUAUGCCUUCAACAAUUUUUCGAAUAACAAAAAAAAAAAUCAACUGACAUUUUUACUCUCCUUAGUUUAUUAAUAAAAUAAUUCACAAUAAACAUAUUAACUCGCUAACUUAUUUUAGUUAAUUAAAUUCAACCUAGUUAAUAUUAUUCAUUAACUUGGCUCAAGGGUAACUAUUAUAGUUUAUAUUUAUUAAUUUUAAAGGUUUUAAGAAAAAUAUAAUUCUGUCUCGUCACAAUUAUAACAUAGGGAAUCGGUUUACAAAACUGCAUUCAUAAUAUUAUGUUUAAACAAUUUUACUCUUAUGCUAUAACUUUUAUGUAAAAUCUUAUUAAUUUUCACGGAUUAUGUAGCAAUCGAAUUUUCUAAACCGAAAUUAAAAUAAAAAAUUAUAUUUUCUAAUUAUACUGGUUUUCUUUUUUUCGUGGUAGUUAUAUGACCUGGUUUAUAACCGUUCCGACAAGUAUAAAUUUCUCCACUCUUCUUUCUUUAUUACAGUUGUUCUCCAAACACAGUUUCAGUCUACCAAGUCUUAGUUUUCCAGAACAUUUUCGAAUAUCAUCUUUCGACCUUAAUUUUUGACGCCCUAAUAAUCUAUUUUUCUAUGUAAUACUUUUCCUAACUGCGUUUUUUUUACCUGGAGUAUAAUAAACCUCGUAAUAUACUCGAUAAUAUUUUAUUGCCACUUGAUCUACUGCAGUGCUGUUGCUAUAUAGUUUCGAGACACUUGACGGUAUUGUAACAAGUAUAUGGAUAUCAAAAAACUUUUUUUAAUAGAGUAGGUAUAAGCAAACUUUUCAAAAUAACGUAUACGAUUAUUUAUUGUAUGCACAUGUCACAUACCUAUUGCACGUUCAGGCGUGUAUUAUUAAUGUGUGAUUUAUGUACGGUUUCCGCCAGCUACAUUUGAAAUUUGUUAACCCCAAAAUGACUCCGUUUGAAAUAGUAGAUUAGAAUAUUAAUGCUUUAAAAAAUAAAACAAUAUAAGUUGUUUGUUCGUCAUUCAUGUCGGGUUUUACGGCCCUUGUAAUUUUUUAAAAGAGCUAGUGUUAAAUCUAAAUGCUGUAAAUUUGUAUGAAUAUAAGCGUAAUAUUCGGUAAAUUCUUUGGGGGUAAACUGCGGUAAAACAAUAAAUCUAUUAGGUAUAAAAGUAAAGGACCUUACUCCCUCCCCUUCAAAUAUAUUUCUACCAAUAUAUCAGUGUUAAUAUUAUUAGUUGGUAACACUCAAGGUUAAAAAAGAGUAAAAAUAUGAAAAUACGAACAGGAAAAAUUUACAAGUAUUUAUUAAUGAAAUAUAAUAUACAAUACAAAUAUGUUUUAAUAUUUAAAAAGCUUGACUUGUAUAACAGUUUGAAUGGUUUUAUAAUGCGAAUCGUUUUAAUAAUAAUUGUAACAUUAAGAAAAUGUUAUACAUUAAAAUUAAAGUUUAAUUAAUUUAAUUAUAGUUAGUAACAAACAUUAUUACCAUGGUUACGGACAGCGGUAGACAGUGAUGAGAAAAAUCGUCAAACACUAAUUAAAAUAUCUUUGACCUUAAUCUUAGAUAACGAUGAUGGAUAAAAUUAUUAAACAUUAUUAUUGAUAUGAUUAUUAUUAUCACGGAUGAAAAAAAAAAUAUUAUUAAACGAUGGGUUGUAUUUUUUAAAUUUAUUGUGUUGAAAUAAAUUAUAUUGAUACUAAUUUCCCUACAGUCAAAUAUCUGUGGGGUAAUUUUUCCUUUUUGCAUCUCCCUCAGAGUACGCUUAUAUUUAUGACGGAAAAUUUGUUUACAUAACGAAUUUUAAUGAAAUUUAACGUUUUAAUCCCAGUUUUAUUACAUCAUUAACAUUGUAACAAUCAUUAUUACGUAAAGAAAUUUCAAAAUGUACGUUCUGGGUAUAAGAGAAAAAUUAUUACAGGCAUACAUACGGGUCUUGAAUUGUCUAUAUAAUGCAAAAUUGAUUGAAAAGUUUCGAAAAAUACGUAUAAAAACGUAAAAAUUAUGGCAUGCAAAACUCAUCAUUAGGUACUUCACGUUUAACAUUGUAUGAAAUAAUUAUUAUUAUUGUGUUAAGUUUUAAAAAUAAUAUUUCCAAUAUUGUAGUCAUAAUUUAUCGCAAACGAUUAAAUAACGAUGCUAUACUCAUCAAAUGGGCAUAUAAAAAUAAUACACAAACAAUUUUGAAUUUUUUUUUCUUACAGCAGUGGCAGUACAUUCUCAUAUUUUUACAAUAUAAAACCACAAUUUUAUAUUUAUGGAAAUGUGCCCAGUGCCCACUACAUCGCUAUCAUAAUAAAGUAUAAAUUAUACUCGUAUAACAUAAUAAUGUUUUUGAUCGAUUUGAAACGGUAUUUUUGUUGAACUAUUUUUGUAAAAGCAAAAUAAAAUAAUUACUGUCCGGCAGUCCGUUUUCACUUCAUUUAUAGAUUUUUGACGGAUUUGAUAAGAGACGUCGCAUAAAACAUUAAAAAAAAAAAAACAACCGCUUGUGUUUAUUAAAAACGACUGAUUUGUUUUUUAGAAUCCUACGUCUACUCUAAAAAUAAUAUUAUAUAGUAAGUAAUAACGUUAAGUAAAUCCGUUCUCGAUGACAUAUUUUAAGAGGUUGCAACCCGUAUGAUGUGCUGUAUCCGUCCUACAAACUCACAACUUCGUAUUAUUAAUUUUAAUAUAAAAAUGAAUUGACUUAUUAUAUACAAGAUAAAGAUAAAAACGUUUUUUUAUUCAACUACGUCGAUAUUUUCUCGAUAUUCCAAUUUUUAAAUGAUACGAGAACUUGAAAUAUUACAAUUUAAAAAUACUUUAUACAUCCCGUCUAUUAAAAUUAAAAUAACGAAAAAAAAACUGAUGUAGUUACACAGAUAAUUUGAGUUAAGUUUGAUAAUGCGUAAUUCACUUUAAUAUGAAAAUUAACGGUACAAAGUGUGUCCCAGCUGAACGAAAAUGUGUUACAUUGUAUAUAAGUUUGUAAGAUUGAAAUAACAUAUACGGGCGUGGUUGUCUUCUUAAGAACGUACACAAGUAAAUAUAAUAUUAUUUUUUCAAAUAGUUUGAAAUAUCUACCUGUAGACAUAACGAAGAAAAAAAUAGUUUUAAUGUGAAAAAAAAAAAUACUAAAAAAGCAUUAAGUGACACUCGUGCGUGAUCUGUUUUUUUUUUAUUAAUCAUGCUUUGUAGAAAAAAUUUACGUUGAGAGGCGAUUUUAUUUUGGAGAAAAUUACUUAUAGAGAGCAUCGGGCUUGCAGUGAUUGGCUCCAUAAUCAAAAAUCUAAAACCAUUAAUACGCCCUGAAAGUAGUUGCCCUCUUUCCAUUAAUAGAAAAACAAUUUAUUGUAAUCAAUUACUACAUUGUUUGUUAAAAUUAUUAUUAACUUUGAGUUUUAGCAAUUUGUAAAAAGUCAUGAGGAGGACAGUUACAACAAAUUUCACGUCUUUUGCGUUGUGUGAAAUAAUAGUUUAUAGCUCACUUCGCUACGUAUAGUAUUUAAACAUUAUCACAUCGUCGUCGUUGAUUAAAUUAUGUUAUAUGUUAUACAAAUAUUGCUAUUCAAAGUUAUUCGACAUACUUUAGUAAACUACUAAUCAAAAACUCUAUCUCUGUUAGUUCAUCAGCCUGCAGUCAAUAUUCACCAUGCCAUUGUUUUUCGUGCAGAUAAUAUUCAUUAGUACAUAAGAGCUACUGGAAUUUUCGAUAUUUUCGACGAAGAACAUUGUUUUCUGUCGACAAACAGAAUCUUGAAAUUUAAUCAUUUUAUUAUAAUUAUAUAGACCAUGCAACAGCGAUCGAACUUGAUAAGUCCCAAUGUAAUGCAAAUCGCGCAUGUGUCUUGCCGAACACAAUAUACCUAUGUGAUGCGUUUAUAGAUAUAUCUUUAUGGAAAUAAGGUAGUUUUAUCUCGAAGUUUAAGAUUUAAAAAAGGUUUUUUUUUUUUGUAUAUUUAUCUCAUUUUUUAUACUCAUAUCGUAAAAACUCAAAUUUUAAUUAUAAUUGUAUUCCUUCAAUUUUAAAGUAAUUAAUACCUAUAGUAGUAGGUAACUGCAUAAGUACAUACUUAUAAUUACAUCGUAAACUUAUAUUAUAAAUCUAAUUGAAAAAUAUGGUAAUCGAAAAAGAGGCCGCGAACAAAACAAGUACCUAUAAUAAAAGUAGUAUAAACAUUCGUAAAAUUCGCUUUUUUUGGUUCUUUCAAAACAAAUAUUGCACUCUUUUCCAAUUUCAACCGACAGCAAUGAGACAUCUGUUUUAAAAUGUUUUCUCGCUACUGCCUAACGUGAUAUUGCACUUAGUGCAACGACGUAUAAUAAUUUUCCAAGUCUAUAACAUGCAGUUUGAUUAAAUUUUACUGUAUUAUAAAAUAUAAUACAUACGAUGAAAAUUAUAUAUUAUCUUUCUUUAUUAGAAAAUAAAAUACAUAAUCUGAUAAAAAAAUAGGCCGUUUUUCAUUAAGUGUUACACAUUGAGAGUAUAUAAUUGUAAGGUAUAGGUUUCAUUAAAACAUGUAUCAUUACAUUGCUUGUUGAAAUCGCGUUAAUGCAAUGUCCCUGAUACUGCUUUGAUGAGGCGUUUUUGUAACUUAAUCAGUUACAUAAUAGAUCUGUUUAUUUCUAACAUGCCAUGAACCGCAAAAUCGUGUUUAUAAACCAACAUAGUAUUCGAAAAUACGAGAAAAUAAAAAUAUAAAAACCGGAAUCCUGUUUCUGCCGCCACCGCAUAUUGGACCUAAGACCCUGCCUUAUCUAACCUAAUUUACCUAACGCCCUAUCCCCUGACCCAAAAUAUACACAUUUUUUUGGAAAUCGGGACUUUAACCUCUUCUGAAUAUUGGAUACCAUAUACUAGGGGUAAAGGAGCACACGCCCCACCGUUUUUUUGUUUGUUAUUUAUUUCAGUGUAUUUGGCGUUCUACAAAAAGUAGUUGAUGUAAAAAUGAUUAAUGUCUCCUUCCCCCCCCCAAAAAAAAAAAAAAAAACAAUACAAAAUUAACUAAAAUAUUGACAGCCAUCUACGAAUAAUGGAUUAAGUGUUAGUAACCGUGAACAUCAGAAUGUCUAAAUAGUGUACAUUUAUCCAUAUUAUUUGAAUAAAUAAGGGGGUAAGUAUGCAAAUUGGGGGGAUAAUUUAAAUUAUUAUAUUUAUAGUGAAAACUAGGAAUUGCACACUUUUUUUCUCCAAAUUGAACUUCCUCUGAACAGUGGACACUAGUGCGAUAGUCAGGGGGCACUGGAGGCACGUGCCUAACCGAUAUUGUUGGUUUAAUCGAUUAUUUCGGUUUUUAAUAGUCCUAAAAAAUAUUAGGUUCAUUAAUUUAAACAAUGAUUAGUGCCCCACAAUCACCCCCUCUCCCUCUCAAGUAUAUUUAUGUGUAUUACGAUAAACAGACGGUAAAUAUUCUGGGUUUGUGGACUGAUAAUACAUAUAAAUAUUAAAGGCUUAUGUUGAGUCCACACAGAGACGAAAAAAUUAAAACAAAAUAAAAACUCUGUGUUUUUCAGUAGAAAUAAAACAUUUUUAAAACAAUUGUGUUUUUUACAACAAAUCGUUCGAGUUUUUAUGAAUAUAACCGUAUCUUGGACGUUGUCAGUAAACAUCAAAAGGUUUUGGUUUUGUUGUUUUUUUGAUGAACAUUGCUGUGGUCAAUGUUUUAAAUUUAUUUAAAAGUCAACAAUAAUAAUAUUUCGGUAUUCUAUGAGUAUAGCGAUAAGUCGAUGUUGUAAUUUACGUGAUGUAAUUUUUACAAAUAUAUAAAUACCGUUCUAUUUUGUUGUAAUUAUUGAUAAUUGUUUAGUGCCGAUUGGUUUUUUGUUCAAUGCUGUUUAGUUCAAUAAUGUAUUUUAUAAUUUGCAUGUAACUUGAAACAAUUAUAAACUUAUAAUUAUAAUAUAAACAACAUACGUAUAAUUAGAUGUAUACAAUGAACAUAUUAACUGAAUCUGUUCGUUGAAAAUUAUUUUUACAAAUAUUUCGAAAAAAACUUGUUUGGAAUGAAAAAAAAAUAACAAAACACAAACAAAAUCGUAAAAAUGACUGCAUUUCAAAACGUCUUGUACAACUGAACUUUCCUUAGAAUCGUUUUUCGUGCUACGUCACAAUCGCCCCCUCCUUGGAAAUUGUUUUAUUAAAUUUCACUUAAAUUAUUUAGAUAUCCAAUACCAUAACUAGGAGUUAUAAGGAGGGCGGGAGGUAUAAACAUUAAAAAAAAAAACGAGAAUUCAUUAAAUACAUUUUAAAUUCUCCUACAAUUUUUUUUUUCAGAUACAAUCUUGUAAGAGUUUAUUUAAUGAUAUUAUAGAUUACUAUUCCCUUAAAUGAGCUUCUGCCACUGUCUUAUGUUUUUCAGUUACAAAAUCACAACAGUUUUUGUAUCGUCGAGAUUUAUAUUGUAGGUUGUCGAAGAGUUUCGUUUUUCAACACACCCCAGUUUUUUUUUUCGUUCUCGAUUUCGUUUUCGGCAAUGAUAAUAUGAUGAUGAUCAUAAUAAUAACAGUAUUCCGGACAAAGUUCCACCCGAAACUAUUCCUCCUACGGAACGCCGCGCCUCCAAAAGUUCGUUACCAAACGUGUGUCGAGAAUAUUAUUAUUAUGGAGACACGAUCAUAUGAUUAUUAUUAUUAUUAUUAUUAUUAUAUUGUAUACAGUUUGCUGUGCUUGGGCCAAAGUUCAAGGGCUUCUCUCGAAAUUCUUCCACGUCCCGCUUGCUCGAUAUAAUAUAUUAUAUGUGUGUAUGUAUAGGUACUAUGGGUACUAUCGCAGUAUUAUCGAAUUGCUCUCGAAAGCUUCGAAUUCCGUUCUGUCCAUGCAACGUUUAUUUACACGACGACUUCGUCAUAUAAGUUUCUAUCACUUCCGGCAUGCAUACCUAUACAGGACCGUUCACGACACGAUAAUAAUAUUAUAAUGAUAAUAUAGUAUGGAUGCAUUAUUGGAUUCCAGUAUUAAGUUGCCAUACCAGUAUCCGCUACAGGUUUCCCCGCCCGAAUCGGCAAACUCCAAAACGUAUAUAUAUCCAUUAAGGGGAUUUGAUACUGCGAUAAUUUUUUACUUUGCCUCAGUGUAGCUAUUUAGAUCAAUUUUGCGUAAAUUGGACCGUCGAUGUAACAAUGCAAUACAAAUUAUUAUGUCAUCAGCGGAUUUGAAUUUAGCGUGAAUUGUACAUGUAAGUGGCCAAGCCACUUUUCGAACUUCAGUCCUUAUAGUUUUCAAACAUUUUAUUUAAAAAGGUGAGCAAUUAUAUAAGAAAAACUAAAAUUAUAUCGAAAAGAUCUAAUUUCAUGUAUGUAUGCUUCACGCCAAGUUCAAAUUUGUUUUUAGAAUUAUAAUCAUUUCAUUAUAUCGAUCGAUAGCAGAGAAAUUGUUUGAUAUUUCUGUGCAGCGUAGUAUGUGUCAGAUAAAGGAAAAAAAUAUCGGUAUCCUGCAAUCUUCUAAAGUAUUAUCCUUUAUUUUCACUUCCAAUAUAUAUUACAAUAAUAAAAAGUUUAUAUCUGUGUAUGUUCGGUUCACAGCGCGAAACGUCCUAAAAGAUACCUCACACGGGAUUUAUGGUAUUAUAAUAUGAAAAUUAAAUUGGUUUUUGUCGAUUUAUUGGUGUUAUCUUAACAGUAGUGAAUUUUAACUAUUUUUUUUUGAAUAUUAUAUCUAUGAUACCCUAAGGCUUGACAACUCUGAGAAGUGAGUGGUGUGCGUUUUCCAUUGUUUUAAUUUUAUUAUCUCACAGAAGGUUAUUUCCGAAUUCGUCUCAGUUGGUGCAAAUUUGCGAAAUUUCCGAUAAAAUGAAUGUUGGCGUUGUUUACAAUUAUUUACGGAAAUAUUAAUCAAUAUUAUUCGUUAUUACAAAACCGAGUAGAAUUGAGCGAGACGAUUGUCCUACGGUGACCAGAAGAAGCUAUGCACACCAUUCUCUAUUUCUGCUCUUCAUUCCUUAAAGUUGUAUGACGACUGAACCUAUUUCCGCCUCAUUUCUGGAAGAGUUUUUUUAAAACAGUCCGUUUUGUGGCGUUUAAAAAUCGGUUUACUUAUGUGACGCGAUUUUUCAAAGUGAUUAAUUUCAAGAGAAGAUUGAUUUUAUCGGUGUGAAAAUAAAAUGGUUUUCAUGAAUAAUAGCUAGUUUUAGUCUUUUAUUUUUUUAGCGUACCAUUCAACGAAUUCGAUUAAAUCGUAUUUUCUGCCGAUUGAAAUUUAAUUUUGUUAAUUUUGAUAUAUAUGUACUACCUAGCUAUAAGUUUUUUUUUUAUGUGAAAUUAACAUAAUCGAUUUUUGGUUUCAAAAUAUUAUAACCCCCUGAAAUUAAAAUUCAACUCCUACAGGGCGAAGUUCACUGUUGUAUUUUUAUUUUGAAAACAAAUGUUAAAAUUCGUUUUGAUUACAUAUAAACAUCGGCAAAGAAAUACGAUAACCACAAUAAUCUCUGAAACCACACGCUAUUUAUUCGAUUUAUUUUUCUGUCUAUAAAUAUAAUAGAUGGUCGCGGGAUAAAUGGUUAAAUACCCGGACAACGUCGCCGCGGGUAGGGACUCAGCUAGUUAUUAAAAAUAAUAAUAACAAUAAUAUCUUGGGGUACGGUGGGCACAAAUUAAUAAUACAAUUUUUGCGAUGGCAUAUCCGUUUUGACGGGUUCCCGGCCAACUAUCGUCGGUGCCGUCGUGCAGUUACUCUAUCGUUCUCUCCGGACGUCCGAUCCCGUGCCACGGGCGAUCCUGUUUCUAGCAAAUACCUCAGUGUGCAAACGACUCCUUCCACCAGUUCCGUGUUCGGGGCCGGACGCCGGGUUCCGUCCGGUAUUCGGAGAGUCCAACGCUCGUAGUCGGGCCGGUGCCGAUGGCAAGUGCACUGGGCCACCGUUGCCGAGGGCAUUUCAUCACUCGAUGGCAUAGUUCGAUGAAAUCCGGAGUCUUUGGUUUUUAUUUUUGUUUCGUUUUUUUUUUUUUUUUUUUUUUUUUUUUUUUGUUUUUUUUUAUAUAUGAAUAUCAGUCAAUCCACGGUAAUAAUUCGACGUCUUAUAUAAUAACAAUAAUAGUCGGGUUUCGGAAAAAUCUCGUCAUCAUAUUAGAGCGAAAUCACAAGACCGCAGUUACCAUGGGAAAAUAAUCACCGGAUAAUAUAAAAAAAAAACACAGUCUCAGCACUACGAGGACGAAAAUAAAUUAAGACACACAGAAGCAAUAACAUAGAAGGCUAAACAAUAUCCUAUCCUAUUUUUUAUAAAAACCAAAUAUAGUUCCUGAGAAACUGAUGAUUUUUUAGUAAAAACCGUAUUAUUGAUAAAGAAAAGUAAUAGAAACAGCUGUUGGGAAAACCUUGAACCAGCUGGAUAGAUGUUAUUGGUCAUAGUAUAGAAGACAUUUAAGAGAACACGACCUUUUACGUGGCAUAUAACAGGGAGAGGCUUCGUGAUAGCAGCAAUGGUUCUCAAUGGAUCGACAUGCCGAGUAAGAGUCAAGACGAAAAGAAACAUUAUAUUAUUAAGGAUUUCGAUCGAAUCUGAUUUAGACUCUAUAUUAUAUUCUCAAAUCGUGUGACAUUAUCAAACGGAUGAUUAUGUUUGAUAACGCAAUGAGUAAUUUCCAACUGAAGGGAUCAUACACGGAAGGCUGGUUAAAAGGAAGAGGACGACCAAGAAAGAACUUCAUUUGACAAAUUUUAAAGACCUCUAGUCAUAAAAAAUGUGUAAAUUUAAAAAGGAAAACAUAGAAAAUUAUGGAGAAAAGUAGUGAAUAGGCAAUAGGUUUAUCGGUCGAAUUACUGGAAUACGUAAAAAGGAAAAAAAAAUACCUUAUCAGAAAAAUUUAAUCGACUACCAUUUUUCGAUCAAAUUAUGUGUUUAAAAGACCAUGGAUAUAUUCGGAUACUUAAAACGUUUAAAACGUAAUUUUUUAUCGUUUCUUCAACUAUCGAAAAAUAUUCGAAAACAUAGUUUUUAUUCCACAUCACUCGACUUACUAAGCAAAUAUUUAUCAUUAAAUAAUACAAAUUCAAAAUAUUUUUGUUGUAUAUAUUCAAUUUAAUAUUUACGUCUAUUGUUUUUACGAUUUAAGUUUCACUGUCAGUUUCACGAAUUGUACCAUACAAGCGAAAACAUAAAAAUGUAUAGGUUUUGAAUGAAAAACUUGAUUGAUUUAAGAAUAGGCAAAAGUGUGAUUAGUUUUUCGUCCGUGAACAAGUAUUCGACCAGAGAUGUUAUUGUAUCAAAUAUUUCAUAGGAAUUUCCUUCUUUUUAUUGUGGAUACGGUUUAUCAAGACAAUUAUGUCUCAAUAUUGGAAGGUCAGGUUUCUAUUUAUAAUAUUGGAAAAACUGUUAGAAAAAAAAAAAUAAAUAUUCACAGAACGCCAUCAUUAUUUUGUGUGUGUGUGUGUGUGUGUGUAAUUCAGUUAAAAAUAAUCAUAGAGACGUGAAAUUUCCACUUAAUGCUAUAUACUUGACAUUUCUAUAAGUGUGGAGUAUGAUUUCAAAAAUAUCAACAAAGUUUUCGUUGAUUUUAUCCGUCACCAUGGUACUCGGAAGUUGGCUAAAUGCACGAAGAAACUUAAAAAUAAUAUUUUCGCGUUAUCACGUACCUAUAACGUAAAACACAACAAUAUUUUUAACGGUGUUGUAUAUAAUAAUAUUACCUAGUUUACUGUAUAGUAACGAGAUUUAACUGUUACAAAAACAAAACGUUCGCAAAGUAUACAAACUGGUAUAAAAAAAAAAAAAAAAUGUUUUUUUCUACAUCCCCCGAGACUUAAGUCGUUUUUUCUCACAGGUACAAACCGGUGAUAAUAUGACGACGGCGUAUAUUGUUAAAUUAUUAUUUCUAAUCACGAUCUGCAAACAUAGAUAUCAGUACCAAGUUAAAAGUGUAAAAAAUAAGUUAAUUUCUUCUAUGAUCAAAAAAAUAACAUUAAACAAAAAAAAUCAAUACACCGAGCCGUCGUCCUAUAAAAAAAAAUAUAUACAUAUAAACAUGUUACGGGUAUUGUUGUAAAAUCGAUUGAUGUUAUUAUAUUUAUACUUUAAACGAUUUUGUGCUGUGAGUUUAACUAUAAGAGAGUAAUAGCCUAUUGUCAAACUCAACGAUAAGAACAUUGUCUGUGUUUGUACGUUAGUUUAUUAUUUUUUUUUUUCAAUAUUUAAAUUUUUAAACCAGAUUCGAUGUUUAUGAUAUUUCAUUUUCACAUACUCGUAACUCGCCUGAAUAUUAAAAUAUCGAAAAAGCCAACAUAUAAAAACAAACAAAUGUUCUUACCUCUAAGUUUGAUAAUGGACUAUUUAUUCUAAUAACAUUUAAACGAAUAGCAUAAAAUCGGUUUUCAUGUAUAAAAUAUGUAUAAAUAUAAUAUUAAUCUUAUUAACAUUAACCGUAACAUAUAUUUAAAAAUCGAACCGGCGGGCGAGCUAAAUCAAAUUAUUCACUUGAAAAAUAGUGGAGUUAAAUAAAUAGCAAACAUAUAUACUUCAGUUAAAAUUGCAUAAUAAAAUACAUAAUUUAAUUCGUCGAGUCAAAAGACAAAAUUUGAAAUUGUCUCGGCUAACAACAACAAAUAAAUAAAUAAAUAAAUAAAUAAAUAAAUAAAUAAAUAAAUAAAUAGACAAUUUUCAUUUUGUUAAAUAAAAUUCAAUUUUCAUAUUAACAGUUCCUCUUUUUAUAUAGAAAGUCGUUCUUUUAUCGUGAAUUACUGAUUAUCAGGAGCGUAGUUAAAUAUGGGACGAUAACUCCCGGAGUUAAAUUUUUUUUUUUUUUAACUCUCAAUUCAUUCCUUUUGCACAUACUUGAUAGUCAGAACCCUAUAUUAUGAAGAUUUCAAGUAAAUUUAUGGUUUUCUCACCCCAGAUAUUGUUGAACCGUUUAAUAAUGAUAAUAAGUGUAAUGCAAAUCAAAAAUUAAAAUUUUCUUUUUCGAAUUCAAGUUUGAGUUUAAAAAAGGUGCAGGAUGGCUCCAUAGAAAUGAAAGAAGGGUAGAGUGUUUUUGGCGAUAUCAUCGGGAUAAUUAAAGGAGAUAUUAUAUAUAAUAAUGUUAUUCCUCUACACAUAAUGUCUGGAAAAAAAAAAAAACUCAAAUCAAAUUUUGUAAAAAUCUUUAUUGGUAUAGUUAUCGGUCUGUAACAUAAUAAAAAAAUUAUUCUUUCCAUACGUCACUAUAAUAUUAUUAUCGUUAACAUUCCAGAAUCGUAUUGAUACGAAUAAAACAAAUAUUGUGUAACGACCGAACAAAAAUAAUGAAGACGUUCUCACCGUCCUCGUCCGUUAAGAAGAAUUAUAUUUUUUUUUCGAAGUCUGCAGGUCUCGUACGUGUGUGUUCAAAUCUAUACAUUAAAAUACUGUGUAUAUAUAAAAAAAAAAAAUACAGAUUUUUCCGAUAUUGGAGUAAUUUAUAUAUAUAUAUAAAAAAAAGUACGUGAUUGAAACUCAAUAUCCGUGUAGAAACAUAAUAUAUUAUGUCACGUGAGCUGAUUAUCAUAAUAUUAUAUAUUUUAAUUUUGUACGCACGUUGUCAUCGUGACGAAUAAAGAAUACAAAUCGACAAAGGAACAAUAUUGUAUUGUAUAAACUCGUAUUGGCAGUAAAAAAUUACCCUAACUUAACUAAAUGUGUAUGUAUUUAAUAAGAAUAAAAAAAAACACCCAUAUUCCAGACGUGAAUAUAAAAAUCCGAGUUUGACCCGAUUCGUGGAUUUUAAUCGACUUACAGGUUUUUUGGUUUACACUUACGACACGGGUUAAAAUUCAUAUAGUUCAACAUCACAUCAGCAAUUUGUAUAGAUAGAUGAUUUACAGAUCGACGUUAUCAAUGUUUUUAUACUUCAUUUUUUUUAACAAGUCUUUAUGUUUAAAAUGUUUUAUACACAAAUAUUUACAAUGUUUUACACGUUUAACAAUUAAAUUAAUAUUACUAAUUGGUUCUAAAUUAUGAAGACAUUGUGUACGUAGUUCUUAUUUAUUCUGAAAAUAUAAUUGAAAAUAAACACUUCCUCUUACUUUUGGAUUGAGAAAUAACAAUUUUUUUUUUUCAAUUGUUUUUUGUUCGUGAAUAAUUGUAUAUAAUCAAAUUCGAUAUUUAUAAGAAAAAAAGUUUAAAAAAGUUUUUGAAAAAAAAAACAUGAUUUAACAUUUGUUUACAGUUAAAUAUAUAUUUUUAACAACAGAAAUACGUUAAAAAAAAUAGUUUUUCUUUUUCUACAACUCUGCGUUUAGGCAAUAAAUUUUAAUACACAUUUUAAAAAUUAUUAUAAUGUGAACGUGUACUCUAUGGUGAGAAAUGAAUUCAUCGGUUUUAGAACUCUGGGGGUUUAGGUAUCAGUUUAUUGACUGUCAGGAUUUUGAACGCCUCCCAGGACACUAAUUUCCUUAUAGCAAUAUCGAGUUUGGAUCAACAAGUUGGUUAUGAUGUAUAAAACCCACUAGGUUAACUAAUAGGGUCUGUAAAUACUCACUUCGGACGAGAAUCUUUCCAAUAAUAAUAAAUAGGUAAAAUUUUUUUUUUUUAAAUCUUUAACCAUAUUUUAUUUCACAAGUCUGAUAAAUCAUUCGUAUGGGCGUGCCCGAGAUAUUGUGCUCUCAAGUAUAAAUUAUUAAUGCGAUUUUUACACGCUUACUAGGGCUAUUGCUGCAGUAAUUUGUAACAAAUACAAUUUGUUCGUUUCGAUUUAUGAGAAUUCAAUUUUUUUUUUUUUUUUUAACUAAUAAUAAAAAAGCUCGAAAACUUGAUUAGUAAGAUGAGUAUUUAAAAAAAAAAUUAAAUGUAAUAUUGUCUAUUUUUCAAAAGCGUUCAAAGUUUAAAAACUAUAAAAAAUAUUAUUUUGCAAUUUGAAACUGAUGACAAUUUCAAAAUUCAAUUUUAUCUUCUCUCAGAUAUUUAUAGUAUAUCAUCUGUGAAGAUUUAUCGUUACAAAUAUCUUAUAUUCGAGACUCGGAAGUUGAAUUUUUAAAUUUAAUAUAGUGCAUUUUUGUGUGGCCGGGGAAAACGAAUUUUAAGUGCAUUUAUAACCGCAUAGAAGAGUUCAAAAGCUUUUUUCGAACGUUUCAAAGCCCUUUAUUGUAUUUAUAUUUUAUAUCUGGGUAAAACUAUAAUCAGUUUUGUAAUCUGCACGCAGACAAAAAAAGGAUAACAACGAUGUAAAUACCAUAUUAUGGUUAGGUAUAGUCAAGCAUACCUAUUCCACAUCGUUUUGUUACAAUGGAAACGGAUUUUUUUUCCUUUCGCGAACAAUGUACAUGCGUAUAAAUCUCCAAGCGUAUAUUAUGUGUUACAUAAAUAAAAAAAUAAAAAAAUCCACCAGUAUAUUAUAAGUUCUGAGAGAACUUUUUGUUUUCCAAAACGCCACCGCCGUCGGCUCAUUACAAGUGCUCGCGUAAUACUUCGGAUUGUACGUUUGUUAGAGGCUUUUUAACUUUUCUUUUUGUUUCGGAUUUUCACUGCAGCUACGCACACGUAUUAUAAAUAUAUAUAAAAAAAGAGAAACGUUACAUACUUAUAGCCAGGUGUAUAAUACCUUUUUUUUUUGUACCUUUCCCCCCACACUGAAGGUACAUGACUAAAAAUCUUUCUUUGAAAGCGUGUGAUUAUUUUUACCCCGUGAAAACUGACGCGUGAGCGUAGGGGUUUUCUACGUGUAGGUUUUAUUGUAGAUUUUGCUUCGGAAGUUUAUGUAAAUAUUUAAUUCACUAAAUUAUUUAAUCGGUUUCAGCGAUGUGGAUUUUAAAUACCCAGUCGACAGAAGUACUUAUACGCUUUAAAGCAGUAGUUACUAUACGUUAAAAUGUUCAUAUCAAAAUUAUUUUCUUCCUCAACAUACUCACCAUAUAAAAAAAGGCGUUUAAAAAAUUGUACUAUUUCUUAUCAACGAUAUAAAUAUGCAUAUAGUUCUAACGCAUUUCUAACACACCUACUUAAAAGCCAAAAAUAACCGUUUUCGAAUUAAUAAAUAUUAAUUAAUAUUUAACAGUGAAGGUGGUUGAAAGCCAUUCAUUCGAAAAGACGGCUGUAUUCUCUUCCCCUUAAUUGGAUAUUGGAUAGGGAAUUAGCAAAAAAAAUAUUAUCACCAAAGUGGUUAGUUUAAGAUAAAGUUUUUUUUUCAAAUUAUACAAAAUCAGAGAAAAUUUGGAAAAUUCUUUCUAACUCCUAUAAUAUAUUGAUGUAAUUAGUUAGCUUUUACACGAUGCUUCCACAAUACAAUUAUGCUCCUAUAAUAUUAUGUGAAGUCAUGAUUCAUGACCUUGAAUUUCUGCAGUAUAAAUGCUCAUGUUUAUUUUUUUUAUAAAUAACAUUUUAUGAAAUACACAGCAAAUUGUAGAGAGAUUACUACAGGAAUCAUACAAAUUAAAUUGUCAUUAAUAAACUUACCCCAUAACCUUGAAAUUAAAAUUACGUUAUAUGAAACAUAGCGAGUAAUUCGCUGAGUAAUUUGCAAUUUGUAACCGCGAAUUAUAAUCUCCCAAAACCCCGUGUUUUCAUUUCCAUUUAUUUACAAGGAAAGCUUAUUACACCUGCAGAAAUCUAAAAAUGUAUUCUUCUUUUUUUUCUACUUAUGGCAUAGCUAUACUCUAAGCAGAGUGUGGCCAAGGAGGAUUUUAAUUGUAACCUACACUUUUUCGCUUUUUUUUUUAGUUCUAGGUAAAAAUAAGAAGAUUUUAAAUUCCUAAACUCCCCGGGCUCCACUAAACUCUCUCUAUUGAUAAAUCCUAAUUAAGUUCGAUUAAGUUCCAGUUAAGUCACUGUCUCUAAGAAUUUAAUAUAACAACACAUCACCAGUCUCUAUUUUGAACCAUCUUUGUUCAUUUUUAAUUAUUAAAUUUUUUAAAACCAUAUUUUCGUGGAUCUCUCGAGUUUUCCAUUGGGUUGCUGUUCCCUAAUUUAUUCGUGUUUUGUACGUAUAAAGGAUGUACAAAAAUAAAACUUUUCAGUUUUUGUCCAACGAUGACGUUUUAAAUAACCCGCGGUUUAAUAAAAUAUAAUGAUAUAAUAGCAUUGUAAAAUGGUAUGGAAAAAAUGAAAUUCAAAUUAUACCGUGAAAAUGUCGGCGUAACGAAUGCGGCGUCGUUAAUUUUCAAUAAUAUUUUUCAAUGUGUACUCGUCAUCAUAUCAACCUGCUCGUUAAAUUCGUGACGACAUAAUAAUAAUAAUAAUAAUAAUAAUAAUAAUAAUAAUAAUAAUAAUGAUAAUAAUAUUAUAAUUAUUAUUAUUUAAGUGUGAAAAGUAAAGUCGUCCCCUAGAGAAAUUAUACUGUGUUCAAUUUUAAUAAUAUUAUGUGAACGUCGACCGGACGAGCCCUGCAGUCGUUUAUGUAUUAUUAUUAUUAUUAUCAUCAAACUGGUAAUGCAUUAGUCUUAAUAAGAAGAGCUUUUAGACCGAUGCCGUACUGUAAUUAGAAUAAUAGUAAAUUGUAGGUAUUCGUCAAAAACAAGAGCUACUCGUAUUUGGGGAAUUAUUGUUGAAGGAUAAUGGACUAGAAGUAUAUUUACUUAGCGAUUUCGCAGCGAUGUGUAAUCUCGAAUGUAAAUAACAUAGCAAUACGCUAAAUUUAUUUAUCGGGGUGAAAAACUGCAAAAGACUUGUAAUAUGGUAAGAAAAUCCGCACAUUUUUUUUUAAUCCCUUUAAUGGUGCGAUACGAUUCUAAUGACAAAAGGUUUAAAUUGUAGUUUUAGCUAUAGGUAUUAGUUUCCAGCAGUUCAGUCACUAAGUUCUUUAUUGUUUUAUUUUAUUUUAGUUGAUUGUCAACUAAAAUAAACAAGAGAAACAAGAGAAAACAUGAAUAAUACUAUUCCAUUCAGAAUAGUCGUUUAGUUUGCAAUGAUUUAUCGUUAGGAAACAGUAUAUUAACUAAAUUACCUUGUAUAAUAUACCUUCUUAACUAUCAACCAAUAACAGUGGCUUACUCUUUAAGUAGUAUCAACUUUUUUUUUACUUGACUAUUUUAUAGUUAAUAUUAUUUUUUUGGAUCACAGACAUAAUAUUAACUAGUUUAGUUUUCGUUGUUUAAAUUAAACUUCCAGGUGUAUCAAGUUCAUAGGUUGAAAAUAAAUUAACGAGUCUGUAUUUUUGUUAGGUUUUAUACCUUACGAAAACGCUAUUCUUUUUAUUAAGAUGGGAUAUUUUUUUAGAACACCCGUUUUUAUGGUUAUUAAAAAUUUCUAUAUUCUCGACAAUUUCUCUGGAAAAUUAAAAAAAAACUAACAACAAAUUAUGUAUAGGUUUUUCUUUGUCAAUUACUUCUACUAAGGGAAACACCACAACUAUUAACUAGUUUACAUAACUGCGUUUAGAACCAUUUUUAUAUUGCAAUAAUUUAUCAUUGCUUUCAGUAAAACACUAAAUUACCUAAAUAUCUUAUAUAUUUCUACUUACAACAAUGAUCUACCCAUGAUGUGAAAUAUGUUUUUUUUUUUUUUUUAUCGAAUUUUGUCUACCCCCAGUAUUUGUAUGCCUCUAAAAUAUUGGAUAGUUUUUGUUUUUUUUUUUUAAUUUAACGAGUUUUGUUUGUUUUUUUUUAACUAAAAGCUCGUUUAAACUAUUUAAUUCGAUUUUGUUAAUUAUUUUAAUUUACGCAUUUUUAAGCUAUAACGAUUUUUUUCCACAGACAGAAAUAUCACACACACAUACACACAUAUAUAAUCGUAAAUCAUCAUAAUAUUAUCAUAGUAAAGUAUUAUCCGUUCAGAAUCAUGCCGAACUGAUGCAAGAAUAAAAAAAAAUAUAAAUAUUAUAUUUUACGUACAUUCCGCUCGUACUAGGAAUUCAAAAAGAAGGUCGUCCUGAUUCAACCUCAAAGCAAACGUGACAGCACCGUAUCGGAUCCGAAUGUAAAUGAGCAUAAUAUAUACCGUCGUAGGUAGUGCAUUGGUUCGGAACUUUAUCGAAUUCGGUCUAUAUCACGAUUGGUCGGAUUUCAAUAACAAACACCGUGGUGACGGAUAUUAUUGUAAUAACGAUACUGAUUUGCCGCAUAAAAUUAUACUUUACUAUGUUCUAGCGUUGAAGUUAUAAUAAAUAGUGAAGUUGCACUCGUCUUUGGGCCUUAAUCUAACGAACAGCGAAAAUAACGUUAGAUUAGGUGAUAAGAAGCACUGAAAUAUAUUAUUAAAAUGCUUUAAAGUUUUGAAAAUAUAUGUAGGGUGAUAUUUAUUUAUCAUAUGAACCAGAAAUUUUCUCGGAGGAUAUAAGUAAAUUUGAUUGCUAUUUUUUUUUUUUUUUUUUAAUCAUUGUAGAUCUUUUUAAACAUUAUUUUAAAACCAUUCUUUAUCCCUACUUCAUAUACCUUAAAUAAGUAAUAAAUAAAGUAAUAAAUUGUAUAUCUAUUUUUAAAUGAUGAAUUGAUAACUCUUCCCUACUCCUCCGGUCUAAACUUUAAAUGGUUAAGCUCAUAAACGAUAAAUUUGAUAUUAGUGUUGCGCGUAUCAAAAUGUCUAGAAAAAUAUUCUGCAUUCGAAUUUGUGUUCAAAAUGGAGAAGAUAAUAUUUCAGAAACAAAGUACAUACCUAUUUAAGGUAUAUGAAAUAGGGAUAAAAAAUUAAAAAUGAGUUUAAAAUAAAGCUUCAAUACUCAUUGGUUCCACAAUUAUUGGAAAAAAAAAAAAAAAAAAAAAAAACAGAAAAAAAAUUCACAAAACACUUUUCUCCUAAAGACAUUAUAAAAUUCAUAUUGAAAUUCAACCCAACUCUCAUCACCUUAAUCAUCGAGUAAAACAACUGUAAUUCCCGAGUUUAAGUUCAUUUGGUUCUACAGAGAAAACCGUUAUAUGUGUCUAAAAGUAACGGGAAAAUGAUCAAUAUUGAUAUAAUAAAGAUAUAAUAACAAAUUUUGUCAGUGUAACAAUGUAUUUUCUAUUUCCGGCGAAAAUUCAACAAACAUUAUUAUGCAAAACAUCCUGUACAAUUUGUACUCUGUUUCGGGAUUAAUACCUACGAAUAAAUCUUAAUUAUAAUUAUAAUUAAUAAUAAUAUACCGUCAGUGGUCGGUUUGGUCAAUUUACCGCGUGUGUUACCUACGGAACACUCUAAAGCUAUUCGACAUUUUCCUCAAAGGUACAAAUUAAUUUCCAACUCAAUAUGAACUUGAUCCGAGUUACAUCGAAAAAUCGAAAUUCAAUACCGAGCGUAAAUACAUUCGCGCGCGUUUUUCCGCCAAUUUUUCGGAUUUUCGGAUGCUUUUCGACGCAUCAGUCCGUACAUGCUUUCGGGAGAUGGUAGUUAUAUACGUAUAUUAUUAUAUUUUUCCGAUCCGUCUGUGUUGACAGUAAAAGCAUCGAAACGAUGAUACAGGGUGAUUGUAUCGUCCAAUUUUCUUUUCGAAUUCGAGUCAAAAAACGAGGAUCACUACUUAAAAAUCAAUAUAAUAAUGUUAUUUUAACAUUCUUAACUGGCUUCACUUUUAUUAAUGUAACAACCGUAUGAUGUUGCGAAAAAUAACAUUAUUGCUAUCGACCAAAUUUUACAAGUAAACUAAACACCGUCACAUUAGUGAUGGUCAAAUGGUUUUUUCGGUGGGAGAAGAUAAGGCUGAUUUAUUAACAAUUAUUUUUAUACAAAUUAUUUUCUUUUUUGUAUAAAUAUAUAGGUUGUGUAAUACAUAAUGUCAUAAAUAUUGAAGGCAGCCCAGGAAUUAUCAAUCGGAAGGGAUGUAGCAAAUUAAAAUCAUGAACAAAUCAUAAAUUCGUCGUCUCUACCCAAAUUGACUGGGAAUUGGUACCUAAUUUAAAAGCAGGAUCCUAAAAAAGUCUUAUUUCUAAUCAAAAUUUAAAGUUUUUCCUAGUAAUAUGACUGAAAUAUAUGUUUUUCGACAUUAGAUAACACAUAUAUUUUGUAUUUUAAGGCAUUAGGAGGGAACCUCUAACCAUCCCCCCUGCGUACGUCACUGAUUAAAGGGAUAAAGAGAUUAAUCUUUAGUUAUUGGGACAAAAUAUAAAAUGUAAAUAACCAAAAUCGUAUGAAACAACUUUUUCGUAUGUUCUCGUUAUAAAGCAAUCAGUGGUUGGACUUUGGUUUUCCUUAUUUUGUAUCAGUCCCAAAAGUCAUGAAACGUCCGAAAAAUGUAUAGGAAGAUGCCAAAAACCAAAAGUUUGACAGCGGAUUACUUUUAAAUGGGGAAAUACGAAGAAAAAAGCAUAAUACGUUUUUGAUACUUAAAAAUGUGUUCUUCUGUUCGCCAUGUAUCACCGAAAAAUGUUACAGGGGGGAAUAUAGCCCUUCAUCUCCCCAGGUCUAAUCAGGUUUCGUGCUUGUAGAAAAAACCAAAAACAAAUAUUUCUAUAGUAAUUUUCGUAGAAUUUAAUGAACCGCUCUGUAUAAUAUCAAUUUAUACUUCUUUGUCUCUAGUUACUGUUAUAAGGAAAAUCUAUCAAUGAGAUUUAAUAUAAUGCCUCUUCAUAGGUUCCUACCUAUACAUAUCGAUUUUUUGACGGAUAUUAACUAUUUCGAAUGACGUCUUUUCGAUUACGGUGUUUGUCUGUUGUUUUUCUAUACCCAAGAUGGGUUUUAGUUUUUUUUAAAAAACCGCGUUGUAUGUGUUUGUGUGUAUAAUUUUUUUAAAAAGAAUUGUGGGAAAAGAACAAAUGAUCAGUUUCGCACACUUUUGACAAUCGAUAUUUUAAAAAUUAACUAAGGUAAAUCACGUCUUAUUAAAUUAUUUUAUAAUUUUUCAUGAGUUAGUAAUAAAAUAAAAUAGUUGUACACUCGAACAAUAAAUUAAAAAAAAAAUUCAAUAAGGGAUAGUGAAAAACAAAAUGAAAACAUACGAUGUUGAUGGUAUCGUAAAAAAAAAAAAAUAUAAAAUUUAAACGUUUUCAUAAUAUAAAAUAUUAAUUUCAAAUUUCUAACAUAUCUGUAUUAACAAUAAAUGUGUGUACGAUUACGACGGCCACUGUUGCUGGUGGCCCGACAAGUUCUUUACACUUGUCCGAAGGCAAUUUAAAAAUAAUGCAUUGGUCAUUCGGAAUCAAUUGUAUAGAAAAUAAAAGAAAUUCGAUUUUAGAAAAUCAAAAUAAUACAAUAUUAUACUAAAGAAAUUGUUACAAUUUUUUAAUUUUGUCGUAGCUCGAAUCUUGUUUUUUGUUUGAAUAGUUACGAUAUUUAUUGUUUCUUCUUUAUAUUUAAAGUAAUGAAUCACCCGUCUCAUCUGGCAGUAGAUACUGUACUGAAUCCAUAGAUUUCAUUCAGUGUUGACAUUAUAAUUUCAGAGUAUUGUUCAGUUCACUCUGAGAUUUGAAUGCAAAGCAUUUUAAUAUUAUAAUUAUUAUCGUCUUAUUAUAUUAUGUUCGAUUUCAAUGGUUCCAACUCAAAAGUAAUUUAAUAAUAAUUUCAUUUGUCUUUUGUUUUCCUUUUCCUAUUCCCUUUUUUUUUUUUUUUUUUUCAUAAAUUUUUUCCGGUGAUUUCAAUUAUAUUGCAUUUAAACGUAUUUUGGAUUCUGAGUGCAACAAUAAAUUUAUUGUUUUUUUAUUAUGAUAUAAUAUGUGCUUAUUUAUUUUAUAUUUUCUGCCUCUAAACAACUUUUUUACUAGAAAUCUUGCUCCGAUUUUUAAUUUUAGCAUAUUUCAGAAAGCAGUUUUGUCUACUUAUUGUAUUGGUCAUCUUUUGAUUUUCUUUGUAGUUCUUUUGAUAAAUGGGAAAAUAUUUUGCACACCUACUAUUUUUCGAUGUAUCCAAAAUAAUUUUUUUGGCCUAGCUCAAAUAUUUAAAAUGAGAUUCAUCACCAUAAGUUUUAAAGAUUAUCGCUCAGCAUUUUUUUACGUUUAGCCAUGAUUAAUCGUUGCACACGAAUAUAAAUUAUAUACAUACUUAAUGUAACCUACUAGUAUUAACUUUUAUUCUUUUUGUUUUUAAUUUUAUUUAUACAAGUUUUCAUCGGUUGGCUUUAUUAUACUUUGAGAUAAUAUUACAAAAUAUAUUAUGUCCGCCGAUAAGUUCGCAUACUAAACUUAAUUUUUGUACGGAAUGUUAAGAGUAUAAUAAUUAAACUUUUAAAUUUUUAAACUGUUAUAACUAUUUUCGAUUACAAAACCGAUGUUUCGAAAGUUUUAUAAUUUAUCGGUUUUUGUUCCACGCCCAACAAAUACUGUUGUCGGCAAUUUUCAACUUGACACGUAAUCGUCUUACAAUUACAGAAAAUCGCGUUUGUCGUGAAUUAUAUUUCGUUGUGUUUCUAUAGAAAACCGUAUUAUUUUAGUCAUGUUUUAUUAACGGUAAAAAUGCUAAUAUAAUAUUUAUAGGUACCUGUAAUACGGUGGCUCGCGGUUGUAUGCUCGAAAGUCGUGGCAGAGGUUAAUGUGGUAUGAAAAAAAAAAAUCGAAAAGAAUGAGCAGCAGAAGUAGUAUAAAAUCGAUACGGUAUUAUUUUAUUGUGUUAUUGACACAGACCGCUUUAAACGAAUUUAUGCACCGAUAUCUGCAAAUAAUUGUGCUCGAGUAGACCGCUAACUUCAGGGGAUUAUAAUAUUAUCGGAGAAGAAUAAAAUAUUUUAUUAUUUUUGAACAACGUUAUUAUAUUACCGGAGCGACGAUCUUCGCCGAUUAAAAUAAUAUUAUAUUCAGUGGCGUAUAUGAGGAAAGGCGAAAGAACAAUCGCUUCUCUCCAAGAUAUAUUUGUAAAUCAUAUUUUAUGUUUUUCGAACUUAUAAGCGUUUCUAAAUUUAAUCAAUAAAUAAAUAUUUUUUUUUUUUUUUAUAAGACAUUGUUGUUAUUGUUUUUUGAUGAUAUUCGUGUUAAUAACAAACAACAUUAUGGUCAUUUAUUGAAUAUUUAUUCCAAAACUGGCGAUAAUACUUUUCAGAAAACGGAGACCUGUGUUUGUAUUUUCUAAUAGAAUUUGGUCUUGGUACGUAUUUAAUUAAAAUACACAUUUAAAAAAAUUAUUUUUUAUCCGGCUAAUUUUGAAAUGUAUACUAUUAGUUAUUUCCAUUAUCUUUUAUAUCGACCCAUGUAUAGACAAAUUUAACAUAUGCAGUUCAUUAGGAAUUGUUUUCUUUUGCUCAAUCGUUUUACUUUUGGCUUUUUCAUUUUUUCUUUUAUUUGAAUUUUUUUUGUUUUGAGACGAUACGAAAACCAUUUUCUCCUUGUUUCAAAAACUCAUAUUACCCACAUUGAAACCAAAAAUAAUAUUAUACAAUGACUAGAGGACCUUUUUUUUUCUCUGCAUAAUGCACCAAAUUUUUGUUGUGCAGGGUGUAAUUCAAAUAUUCACCUUGAUAAAAAACAAAAAUAAAUAAUAACAUCUGUGUUCGUCAAAUUUUCUAUGUAUACAAUUAUUGAAUGCCAAUUGUUAUUAUAUGUUUACCGUCUCGAAAUAUAUUUUCUGAGAAUAAUCGUAAACAAAUCUAAAAAAAAAAGAUAUAAUAAAACUAUUACUAUCACUAUCCACUCAAAAUAUAUAAAAGAAUAAAACAAUUUUAUUUUUUAAUAAUAAUUAUAUUACGUCAUCAUAGUAUGUAUAAAUGCAAUCGAUAAAUCGAUUCAUAACGUAAUAGUGUGUGGUAUUUAUCAUUUCAAUUUUUUUUUUUUUUUUUUAACAAAACAGUCGGAAAAAAGUCUUGUAGUUAACCGUUUAUGAGUGCAAAUUUUUUGAGACGAGUUCGAGCACGCGAUUCGGGAAUUUUACCAAAGUCGAGUAUGCGACCAACUCUAGAUAUUAAUAAUAAUAAUGUUUUCAUUUUUAUUCUCGUUCAUAGGACUCGUGUUAAUAACUGCUAUCACGUGGUUAUCGUCCGGUUCGUGUGUAUACAAAAUAAUAAUAAUAAUAAUAGUAUUUAGCUAUUUUAUUGGGUUGUUAAAAUACACAUUAUAAUAUUAUGUACUACACGCGAUGUAAUUUCGUGUUAAUUUCAUUAUAUGGGACGGCACGUUUUCCCGAUGCUGUCGAUGAUUUUUCCAACUGUCGACAAUAGUAUUUUACAAAUUUAUUUUAUUAAUAUGACGAGCAUAACGAAAAAACGGAGGCGUAUUAAAUAAACACGAGCACUCGCGGUACCCAAUGGCCUUUUUUUUUCGAUCAACGACCCAGUUGACAUUGUAUAUUUGUUAUAAUAAUAAUGACAAAAAUCCAAAAUUAUUUUCUCAUACCCUCCUCCACAACCAAAAAAUAAAUAAAAAAAGAAACACUUUAUUUAAUAUAUUGUGUUUCUAACGUGCCCAGACAGAUGUGGACUGGUCCACUUAACUGUUCUACAGCACCAAUGGGCCGGUGCCCUUGCAGUAGAACCUAUCUCCUAUCUCCCUUCAAUCGACAUGCACGACAUAGACAUCACACGACAAACACGUACGAUAGGAUAUCACGGAUGGUGACCCGGCAUCAACACGCAGCAUUUUUGACGACGUUUAGUGGAUGUAAGGUUACAAUCGUAUAUUGUAUAUCUAGUUCUACAGAAAUUAAUUCUUUUCCCCCAGAAAACAUUUUUACGGUUAGUAUAAAUACUCGGAUUUUUUCACGCGGUAAGUCUCUCAAAAUUUGCGCGUCUAAUUUAUUUGAAACAUUUAUCGAUAUAAAACGUUCACCUAAUUGAAACACAAACAAAGUUUUUUUUUUUCGGUAUUCGAUUUUGUUUAUUUCCUGGUUAUAUCUUAUUGGUAACAAGGGAAAAAACACGACUAACAUGCAUUAACUCGAUCACAAUUGUUUUUCGUUUACAAUGAUUUAUCGUUGCAUACUGUAUAUUAACUAAAUAACCCUUUAUAUCCUAACUAUACAACAGCGGCCCACCUAGGGUGCGGUGUGUCAGUUUUUAUUAACCGAGUGCCGUUUUUGCAGCAGAAAAUGCGGUUGUAUUUGACAAUUUUUUCUACUUAUGUAAUCAGUAUUUUGCAUUUAAGAUAAAUGCAAUUCUUAAUAAAUAUCCAUCACGGUGUACCGAUAUGAUUAUCAUUAUUUCAAACUAAUAAAUAAUUCAAUUUUUUUAUUUUUAAAAAAAAUGCGUACAGUAUUUUAUGGGUGUUAUAUAAUACGUCGUGUAUCUGGCUAGGUGUCUUUGGGGUUUUAUAAGUUUUUCGCGAAUUCUCUGAAUUCAUCCACGUAUAAACAUACUAUACCGCCGGAUUUUUCUUUCUCACAUAACACAAUACAUGUAUAAACAAUUCGAAGUACUUAUGUAAGUAUAGAUUUUGUGGUGGAGGAAGGAGAUAAGGGUAAACGCAUGUCCGUUACAUUAUUAUUAUAUAUAGCAAAUAUUAUGUAUGUUCGUUCGGAUGAUUCGUUGCCGUGGUAACCCACGCUGACACUCCGGCGUGUGUUGAUUUUAUGUGUUGGAAUUUGUCGAUUAGGUUUCGGGUGUUAUUGUAAUGUCGAAAUAUUUAAUAAUAAUCUACAUGCAUGCACUAUGUUGUGUAUGUUUAAUAAUAUAACCUUGCCGAAAUUCCGCUUAACAAUGAAUCUAUUUGGUAAAAAAUUAUUUAAAUCGUGUUGGACAAUAUAACAUGGUUAUAAUUAUGAUUUAAAUGAUUUCAAUGAUUUUUCUACACUAUUAAAAAAUAAUAUGCGUAAGAUAAGAAAAUAUAUUAAUCGGGCAAAAUUGAAGGCAAAAAUCGGCCAAUGGAAAAGUAGCUGGGGACGUUGAAUUUAUAAGGUAAAUAAAGAAUGUAUUGACGUUUUCGUUAUUGUAUAUUAUUGACACACUUUCGACUCGGUAAAUAAAUGCACUUGUUGUGUUAAUAAAUAUAAACUUAUACCCGGUCAGGGGACAAUGGCUACUUAAUUUUUGAUCUGCCGUUAGACCGGGUCGUUAGUUUGAUAUAAGUCAAACUUUCUAGUUUCUGUGCAGUGGGUACCUAUCAAUGGUAUGUUCAAAAAAUUAAUCACUGCCGUUCAAAUAAUAUACUUUUUAAACAGAUCCGACGUAUGCGACAAUCGGACCUUGUCAAAUUUUAAAAAGAUAUCUACUCUGUAUAAUGUAUUAUAACUUAUAUUUUUAUUUUGAACAUUUCGCUACACAUUUCAUAAGUACACCGCGAUAGUGAUUUUACUAAGUAAGGCUUCAACAAAUUUCGAAAAAAAAAAACAGCUUACCAAGCGUUUAAAAUAUUACAAAAAUACACUAUUAAAUAAACUUUUAAGAUUUACAAUUCUCGAAAAAUGUAUUAUAAAUUUGUAUUAGAUUUUCAAGAGUUAUGGUUAUAUUAUUAGUCUAUACAGAAAAGACAUUUUUACAGUGUAUAACUGAGAAUUAAGAAAUUAAGGUUUUAUAUGAUCGAUUAUCUUUACAUAAUUUUACGAAUUAUUUACCAAGUUUUUCGAGUUUAGUUUACCCAUAAUAUAAUUUGUGUGUUAAUAUCUUCGUUGAGAGUUUCUUUUAGGGGGUGGUGUGUAUGGUAUAGUCACAUGAAUUUAUAACUUGUUUCUUGCAAAUAGCAAAAUGCUAUUGAACAACAAUAAAUAUUGCUACUUAAUGUUUCAGGCGGUCUAUAAGGUUAUACGAAUGCUUAAGAAGACUUGCAAAUUAUUACAUUUAGACGGAGGCUCAUUGAUGGUGAUCAGAUGUGAGCGGGUUAAAAAUGCGUAUCCUAUUGUGGCCUAUUCUUGGAUUUAAUUUUCUAAUCGUAAAAUACUACACUUUUGUACGGAUAUAAUCAGUAUCAUAAUAUUAUGGAAUAUACAAAAAUGUUUAAACUCACGGUACAGAGUUAUUU